rnacentral:lncRNA from 1 species
AAAUCAGGUUAUGGAGGAGGAAAAGGGAGGAGAGAUGAAAUGGGUUCCGACAAAAGUUAAUUUGGAAAAGCACGUUAUAGUUCCAGACAUGUGUUCCGACAUGGAAACAUCAUCAGACAAGUACGUGGAAGACUACAUUUGCAACCUCACUAAAACAACCCUAGACUUUUCCAAGCCAUUAUGGGACCUUCAUCUCCUCAACGUCAAAACCUCCGACGCCGAGGCCGUCGCCGUUUUCAGGAUUCACCACUCCCUCGGCGAUGGCACGUCUCUCAUGUCUCUUUUACUUGCAUGCACACGCAAAGCCUCGGAUCCCACGGCUCUGCCUUCGGUUCCCAUGAUGAAGAAACCAAAAUCAUCGGCUGGGUCUGGAAAGUGGUGGAAGGCUUUCAGACUGGUUUGGAAUACGAUCAUCGAUGUUUUGAUGGUGAUCGCCACAGUGUUGUUCUUGAAGGACAGAGACACGCCUCUUAGGGGUCCGCCCAAUGUUGGAUCCACAGGACGGAGAAUUAUUCACAGGACGAUUAGUCUGGAGGAUGUUGUGAUGAUAAAAAAUGCAAUGAGCACUGUAAGUCAACUUGUUGCAUGCAUGGAAAACAAAUACAUGUUUUGCAACUGUUUUAAAAAAAACAAUUUCCUGUUUUUCAAAUAAAAUAAAUAGAAAAACACUUUAGAUAAAAAAAAAUUAGAAAAUAAGGUAUUUUCAAGGAACAACUUUCAAUUAUUUUUAUUUAUAUUUUCAUUUGUUUUUGUGAUAAUUGUUUUUUAAAAUAAUUAUAUAAAUAUAAAUAAUAAUUAAAAAUUAAAAGCACAAGUUAUUUUCAAAAAUAUAUUUAAAAAUAUAGAAAUCAAGUUAAAAAUAUUCUAGAGUCAUUCCUGAAUAAAAAUUAUUUUCCAUAAAUGUUUAUAAAAAACACUUAACAAACAAAGCUAUGAUUUUUUCUUUUUUCGACUAUGUCCCAUAAUUUUUUUAUUUUUUUAAAGCAGAGAAAUACAAAGCUUUUUUACUUUUCGAUCACUUCAAUGAAAGAGUGGGUAAUCAUAUAUUUGAAGAAGUUUACAACUCCUCUCUCAAUCAUUAGUGGAGAGAUUAAGAACUAAAAUUUUUGUGGCUCUCAUGUGCAGACUGUUAAUGAUGUUAUGGUGGGAAUCACACAGGCUGGUUUGUCUCGGUACCUCAAUAGGCGAUAUGGUGAGCUCCUAUUUUAAUUUUCAAAAUUCAUAUAUUAAGUGGUACGGUGAAGAGUAAUUAUAAUACACCACCUAGCUACUCUCUCUAUGUAUAAAAGGAUGUUAUAAAGCUUGUAUGCUCUACAUGGUAGCUGAAGGCAAGAAGAAUAAAGGGGCAACAGAGAAGAAAAAUAAUCUUCCCAAGAACCUUUCUAUCAGAGCAACUCACUUCAUUAACAUAAGACCAUCUGCAGGGAUCCAUGUGGGUGUUUCUACUUUCUUUAUCAAGCCCUCGUGAAGGAAUUAGUUAAUUUCUCUUUGGGAAGUGUUUUCAAAAAAUGAAACAAAAGUUUUUGAAAACUGUUAUUUGAUAUUUUAUGGAAUAAAAGUUUGUUUAAAAAUCUAAAAUUAAUGUUAUUUAUGUUUUCUAUGUUUUAAAAUAGGUUUUAUUAUUAAUUGAUCUCCAUAUUUUUAUAAUUAUUUAUUAAAUGGUUCUUAAAAAAUAAUCAAAAAAUAUUUUCUGAAAACACAUCAUUUUUAAAUAAUUAUUUUAUUUAAAUUUGUUUUCAAAAUUUAAAAAUUAUAUUAAAAUCAAUUAUCAAACAAGUCCUUAAUUUCUUGUCUCAUGCAUGUAUACAUUGAUAUCGUACAGACCUUAGCUGAAAUGAUGGAGAAAGGCUCUGAAGCAAAAUGGGGCAACUGGAUUGGCUAUGUCCUUCUCCCUUUAUCCAUUGCAUUACGAGACAAUCCUUUAGAUUACAUUCAAAAAGCUAAGGAAGCUAUGGAUAGAAAAAAAGCCUCUCUUGAAGCUCUCUAUAUACAUUCCAUGGCUAAGUCAAUUCCCAACUUAUUUGGCACUAAGGUAUGAAUUAAUAUCACUCAACCCUAGCUUGUUUCCUCAAAAUUAAGUACUUCUAGCUUAAUUAAUAUCACUGUCUAAUAAACAAUUAAAAGUGGUAAAUAUAGGCUCACUUCUUUCAUUGGUAAACAGACUGGAAGUGUUCUAUGCCUCAAAGUCCCCUCUCGUACGACAAUAUGGUUCUCAAAUGUAGUUGGACCCCAAGAAGAAAUUGCCUUCUUUGGCCAUCCAAUAGCCUACAUUGCUCCAAGUUGUUUUGGUCAACCCAAUGUAAGUCUUCUUAAACUUUGUUUGACAAUGUUUUAAAAAAUGCUUUAGCCUAUAAAAUGUUUUACAAAAAAAAAAUUAAAAUUUAGAAAUCACUUUCAAAAAGUUAAAAAGCCACUUAUAGAUAUUUUCAAAGAAACAUUUGAUAGAUAAUUCUCUUAAUACUUUUAAGUAAAACACUCUCGAGAAAAACACUUCAAAUUACAUUCUUAGAAUGCGUUUGAUAAUAUUUUUAUUCAAAAUGUUUUUAAUGAAAGCAUAUUCUCUGAAAAUGUUUUACGAUAAAUGUCUAUCAAAUAAUUCUCCAAAAAACAGGAUAAUUGAUUUUUCAAUACUAUAAAUAAUUUUUCAUAUUUGUAAAAGCGUUUCCCAUAUUUUAUCAAAUACUUAAAGAUAAAAAUGUUUGUUAAAAUCAUUAUCUAACUCUUAUUCAUGAAACAUAAACUUUUCUCUUUCUUAUGAAUUAUUAGCCAUUUUUAGUACUGUAAAAAUGGUGGUUGAUUCAAUCUGAAUUCGAGUCUCUUGAAUAUCUAUUGCAGGCAUUGAUGAUUCAUGUGGUGAGCUAUGUGGAUAAAAUGAAUAUCAUUCUAUCAGUUGAUGAAAGUACAGUCCCUGAUCCUCACCAGCUGUUUGAUGACCUUGAAGAGUCUUUCAACCUCAUCAAGAAUGUUGUGAUGGCUAGAGACUAAACUCCACAGAAUGUCAUGUAGCAAGGGCUAGGGUCAAUGUAAUUAAUAUAUAUAAUGUUCUGAAAUCAUUGUCUUAAGGUUCCUGCAAUAAUGAUGUUGUAUUAGAUGGCUCUCUACUAAAUAAAAAUGCCUCUCUACUGUAUUUUUAUCUUAAUUCAAGUUCAUAUUUUUUGGACUUUAUUUCAUUUUUAUUUACUGUAUUUUGAUGACUAAUUAUGGGUUCUUUCUAAUUUUAUCUUUUAAUUUUUUAUUCUCUUUUUUUUUUUUUUUUGAUUCCUCAGAUCUUUUGCAGUAUCCAUUUUUAAUUUUAAGGCUUAAAUUUCUACUUCAUUUCAUUAAUUUCUUCCAUAAUUUUUAAUUUUUAUUAUUAUUAAAUAAUUGUAAUAGCGUUAAUAUGAAGUUUUGGGCUGGCUUACAGAAGAACCCAUCUCCUAGUUUAUAUUGAUCCCUAGCAUUUUAUUAAUGGAUAUAACUAUCAAAAUGCUUUCAAAACACAUUUUCCAUUUAAAUGAAAAUAUUAAUUAAUUUUCUAUAGAAAUAUCUUCAAUAGAGUGUUAGUGACAAAAUGGUAAAAAAAGAAAAAGAAUGUUUUAACAACAAUCACCUUGAAAUCCUUCAUGUGCUACAAAACAAAUUGAUUGGUUUAUUCAUCAUGAAAUUUCAUGUUAAUUAGGCUUUAGCUGAGAUGAUGGAGAAGGAGUCUAAAGUGAAAGGGGGAAAUUGGACUGGAUCUAUGUUCCUCCCUUUUGCCAUUGUCUUAUACGAUGACCCUUUAAAUUAUGUUAGUCAAACUAAAGUCACAAUCGAUCGAAAGAAGCAUUACCAUGAAGCUAUAUUUACAUUUUUCAUUAUUAAGAUGGUUCUCAAAUUAUUUGGUGCUAAGGUAUGAAUUUCCUUAUCCUUAAUAUUGAAAUAGAUCACCUAGGAAAUUAUAGAUUUUCAAACUCCUGUUCUUAAAUAAUAAUAAUAAUAAUAAAAUCUAUUGUCUAUUUUUUGUUUCUUUCCUUUCUAUUUUCUUCUUAUGAUCUUACCUAGGAUUUUUAUUAUUAUUAUUAUUAUUUUGCAUGGCAAAUAAGUUGCAGCAUUUUUAUACCAUAGAGUUAUAAAUCAUACAAGAAUGUGCUUCUCAAAUGUAGUUGGACCUAUGGAAUAAAUCGGUUUUUAUGGCCAUCCAAUGGCUUUCCUUGCUCCAAGCGUUUACGGCUAACCUCAUGUAUAUAUAUAUAUAUAUAUAGUUAUUUGAUUAAAUGGAUUAUUGAAAACCCAAAUUUGGAAAAAUGACCUUCAUGGUUUGAAAGUAUGAACUAUGAUCCAAAAAUUAUAUUUGUAUUCAUCAAAUUUUUCUUUACAUUUAUUAUAUUUACACAUUCACUUUAAAAUACUAACUAUAUUAACACAUCACCUACAAAUUUCCAAUAUCAUAAAAACACUCUUCACAUUCUUCUCUUCUAUACCUAUCCUUUUUUUUUUUUCUCUAUUAACUUUUUUCUUCUCAAUAAUAAAUCCUAAAAGAAACUAUCUUUUAGGGCUUAUUCUUCAUGUAAAUUUUGACUAAAAAAAUAUGUUGUAAAAACAAUUAGAAAGAAUUUAUAAAAAAUUAGAAAUGAGAAAUCAUGAAAAAGUGCAAAAGAAAUUAUAUUUGGACUGAUUUUUUACUCUGUGUUUUGUGGUAGGGAUUCAUGAUUGAUUUCCAAAGUUACAUCAAUAAAAUGACAUUUGUUCUUUCUGUUGAUGAAGAAAUAAUUUCCGACCCUCACCGAUUAUGUGAUGAUCUUGAAAAGUCAUUUAAGUUUAUCAAAGAUGUUGUCAUUGCAAGAGGGUUUGUCCAUAAAAUUUCCAUAAAAUAAGAAUGAUUAGUACAUGUUACAUCUAUGUGAACUAUGAAGAUCUGUGUGUUCUUAUGGUCAUUUGCAGUUUUAAUCGUAUGUGUUUUAAGUGAAAUGUUUUAUUUUCGAAUAAAUUUUGAACUUUCUAAUGUUAUAUGUAUGUCACAUGCAUGUAUGCUUUGAAAUUUUUAUAUGAGAAUAAGACAUGUGGGUCAUGCCUUGUUCUGGGAAUGGGCCUAACUUGGGCCAGGCUUGGGCUUGAGCCUAACUGGGUCUUAAGUUGGGUUAAUUAGAACGAUGAAGUCAAAGAAUUGCAAAAUUUUGGGUUCCAUGAUAUCUCAAAAUUUCAAGAUAGUUUUUUCCUGAUUCUUACAAAAUUGGGUACAUAUCUACAUAGGUUGUUAGAGAUACUGUGAGGGAUUUGCACCACCUCAAACAAUAUUCUAACUAAAAAUGUCUCGUUCGGAUACACUUUUUCAUUUUUCUUUUUUAGAAACAAAAAGUUUUAAUAAUUUCUAUAUGAAAAUAGAAGUUCUUAUAUUAAAAAAAAGGUACAUGUUUACCCUGUGUCCUUAUAAUUUAUUUUAAAUAUUUUAAAAUUUUAGAUGAUAAUUUUUUUAAAAAAAAAAUUUAGUUUUUAAAAGUCAUUGUUUUUUGGUGUAAUUCUCUAAGAUUUUUUAUAUUUAAAAGAAAUAAUAAAUGAUAAAAAUUGUGGUAUAUAUAUAUAGAGAGAGAGAAAAAAUAUAUAUUAUGCUCAACAACCCAUUUAAAAUAAUGAUUUAUAUACUCAAAAACAGUUUAAUAUGAUGAUUUAUUUAGCUAAAUAUAUUUAAGAAUAUAAAAAAAUCAUGAUACAGAUAUGACUACUUUUUAAUUAUUUAAAAAUAUUUAAAAUUUUAUUUACAAGUUUAUACUUUUCUUAUAUUUAAUAUUAAAAUGUUAAUUUAAUUACAAAAAUGAUUAUGUAGUUUGAUAAAUUUAAAAAAAUUAUUAGUUUUAAUAUUUUAGAUUAUAAUAAAUCGAUUUUAUGUGCUUUUAUAAAUAUCAAUGAAGUUUAGCUUGGUGGUGAAGUGGCAUGAUAAAAGUUGUUUUCCUUUAUUUUUCAAAUUAUAAAGAAUAAAAUAAUAUAUAUAUAUAUAAGAUAAAUUUCACCAUACAUUAAAAUUUGAAAUUUCAUUAAAUCUAAACUUUUUCUUUAAUAAUUUUUUAAAACUUUCAUAUUUACCCUUCAUUUUCUUUCUCUUGUAUUUAUUGCGGACCAAACUUGUCAUAAAAUAAGUCAAAUUCGUUUUUGAUCUCUCUAUUCUCUAGCAAUCUCAAAUGGACCCAAGAUUGAGGCCACUCUAUCAAGACUUAAAAAUCAACACAAGGAUCAACAAAAUGUGUGGACAUUAACAUCGGAAUCAUAAAUAAUCAACUACGUACCUUUUUUAUAUUAAAUAUUAAAUGUCAUAUUAGAACAUUCUUCAAAAUUGAAAAUAAUAAAAGUAGAAAUUCAACAUCAUACCUCUGACUAUGGCCAUCAAAUUCACAAUUUUUGGGAGUAAAUAAAAAACAUAAUAAAAUUAGGGAUUUGUUUGGCUAGUUUUUCUAAGACCUUAUAUCUUAUGAAAACUCACAAACUUCCUAUAAACUAGAGACUCUUAUCUAUAUAAAGUUUUAAUAUAAAAUAUGAUAUUUUCUUAUAUUUUCUUUCCAUCAAAGGAGACAAAAUAAAUACCAAGUAGUAGUUACCACUAAAAGUGUGUCAUGACUAUAAAAGAUGGUUACAACACUAAGAGAUGUGUUUGUAUUCAAUGUGUCACAUGUUUUAGGGAAAAUAAUGUAUUUAAAUUUAAAUUUAAAUAGAACACAAAACUUAAAACAUUUAUCUUAUUUUAUUUAAAAUAAAAAAUAUUUCCAACAUGUCACACACAUGAGAUCCAUGCUGCCAUAAAUUCAUUUCCAAACUAGUUAUGAACCAUAAAUGACAAGCCCUAACUUCACCUCCACUUGCUAUAACAAGCCCUAACAUGACUUCUACUGCUAAACAUUGAAAAAGGAUGUUGAUGUUGCGUCUAAAGGCAUCUUGCUUUAUUAAAUAUUUAAUUUAUGUACUAUCAUUCUCAUUGACAUUAAAAUUAAUUAUUUCUAAAAAAAAAAAAUCAAAAGAAAAUUUCCCAAACCAUAGAAAAGUAUUUAGCAUUAAACUCGAUAGAGUUACACCACAUAUUUGUAGCUUAGGAUCACAGGGUUCUCAGAAAAACACUUCAAAGUACAUUCUUAGAGUGUAUUUGAUAAUAUUUUUAUUCAAAAUAUUUUUAAUGAAAGUAUAUUCUUUAAAAAUGUUUUAAGAUAAUUGUCUAUCAAAUAUUUCUUCAAAAAACAAUACAAGUGAUUUUUUAACACUAUAAAUAAUUUUUCACAUUUGUAAAAGCGUUUCUCAAAUUUUAUCAAAUACUUAAUAUAAAAUUAAAUGCUUCUUAAAAUCAUUUUCUCACUCUUAUUCAUGACACAAACUAAAAAUAUCAUUGUGGUUUUGUGCAUUGCAGACUAUCAACGAUGUGGUUAUGGGGGCGUCAUUGGCUGGUCUUUCUCAAUAUCUCAACAGAAAGAUAUGGUGAGCUUGCAACUUUAUACCUAAACAACUAGAAUACUUCAUCUAAUGUAAGGUGAGAUUCUUAACAUAUCUCCUUAAUGGCAGGUGAGGCUAAGGGAGAGGCAGUAGCUACACAGAAGAAAAAUAAUCUUCCUGAGAACAUUCGCCUCAGGGCCCUCGAUCUCGUUAAUAUAAGACCUUCCCCAGGGAUUCAUGUGAGCCAUUUUCCUGUUGAAUUCAAAAGAUUUAUAUGAAAAUAUGGUCGUUAAGAUAGUAAAAAUGAUGGUGCAACUAACAUUUUUUGUAUGCAUCAAAUCUGAAUUUUCAAAUUUAUAAAUGAACUUGAGUAAAUUAAUUAUCCAUGUACUGUAAAUUUGAUUGAUUAUAUCGUAUCAUAUCAUCAAAAUGCUAGGCUUUAGCUGAUAUGAUGGAGAAGGGGACCAAAGCAAAAUGGGGUAACUGCAUUGGAUCUGUGCUUUUCCCCUUCACUAUUGUGUUACAAGAUGACCUGUUAGACUAUGUUUGCCAAGCUAAGGCUACCACUGACAGAAAGAAGCAGUCUCAAGAAGUUGCAUACACAUUUCUCAUUGUUAAGUUAGUCCUCAAGUUAUUUGGAAUUAAGGUGCGUAUGAACUUCUUUGCAAUUUUUUGGAACCAAAUACACAAAAAAUUGGACACAUAUAUAUAUGCUAGCAAUUCCCCCUUGGUUGUUUAAUUUCAGUGUUUCUAGUCUAAAUUAAUCAUUCUACUUCAGAAAUCAUUUGGUAAAACAGGCUGCAGCAUUUCUACUCCACAGAGUUCCAAAUCACACCACAUUGUGCUUCUCAAACAUAGUUGGACCUAUAGAAGAAAUCGGUUUUUAUGGUCAGGCUUUCAUUGCUCCAAGUUGCUGUGGGCAAGCAACCCCAUGUAAGUAUAUAUACACAUCUCAUUAAGCCAAAAUAUGCCUUUUGUUUAAUUUCAUUUGGCUAUGAAAACAUUAUAAUUUAUAACAUAGAGUUGAGUUUGGUUAGUCUUAAUAAGCAUAAUAAUUGUGUUUUGGUGUCGGGAUUGAUCGUUCACUUUCUAAGUUACACAAAUAAAAUGACAUUUAUUCUAUCGGUUGAUGAAGCGAUCAUUCCUGACCCUCACCAGCUAUGUGAUGAUAUUGAAGAAACACUCAAGCUCAUGAAGGAUGUUGUUAUAGCAAGAGGGAUUGUUAAGGAAAAUCUCAUUAAAUAAAGAGUGAUUACACACAAAAAAGACUGAUCACCAUAUUACAUUAUGCUUGAAUUAUGUUAAUUGGGAAAAUGUUGUGUACUCAUCUUUGCUUUCAUGUAUACUAAUAAUGUUGAUUGCUACCAAAUAGGGACUAUAAACCUUUGGUUAGUGUAUCUUAUAAAUUUGUUUCUCAAUUGGAUAAGUUGGAAUUUGGAUUAAAUUCGUUAUCGAGCAUCAUCCUAAUUAGCUAGGUUGAUUAGGAUGUGCUUGCAUUUUGUGGUUUUUUGUGGUUGGUUGAUGAUAAUUUGCAUUGUUUUAAAAACAUGACGAGUUGGACCGCCAGCCGGAGGGCUUUCCUAUCCAGUUCCCCUUUUUGGACCAUCUAUCAAUUGGAUUGGUCUUGAACCGAUUAAACCAGCGGUUGGAUCAAUGACCCGGAUGGUUCUUUAAGAACCGAAUGGGUCAAACCCCACCACCUCUUUUUCUUUUUGCCAAGCCCACAUUUCCUUUGGCCUAGUGUCCACUCCUAUGAUGAGUUUUCUUGGCAAAAUGGCCUAUUAAAUUAGGCAAUGAGCUCUAUAGCCUGACCCAACAAUCUACUAAUUUGCAAGGAAUGGAAAGAGGUUUAUAAAUCUAUUUAUGUUUCAUCUACUUUCAAUAUGGAAUCAAGAAAUUUAAGGAAAAACUCAACUCUUUUUAUUGCAACCAGGAGAGCUUGAACCAUAGACCUUGACGUUUCCUAAUACAAUAUUAUUCACUCUACUACAACCAUCCUUAUGUUGAAAUUUAACAAGGAACAAAUAUAUAGGUUAUUUUUAAAAAAUGAUAUAUAUAUAUAAUUACAUAAUACAUUUUUUUUUUCAUUUUCAAUAUGUUUAAUAUCUAAAUAUGAUUUUUACCAUUUUCUUUUCAUAUUGAAAUAUUGUAUAUAUUUUGUUUAAUAAAUUAAAAAUGUUAAUACAUUUAUAUAAAAAUGAAUAAAUAAUAUUACAAAUAUUAUUAAUUUUUAAUUAUAUGUAGUUAAAAUUAUUUUUAAUUUUAAUAAAAUAUAAAUUAUAUAUUUAUGACGUCACCGAUUCGACCGUGGUUCAACCACCGAUCCGACCAGUGAACCGUGAACCAAUAACUUUUCCGGUUCAAUGUUUUGUCCGGUUCUGAAAACAUUUAUAAUUUGUCUCGACUAGCGAUAGGCUGGACUUUUUAUUCAAAUCAACAUUACAUGACUUAACUUUACAUCGACCUCGGAUUAGGAUUGUUUCCUAUAAUCAUCAAUAAAGGAGUAAAACGUUGAAGAAAUAUCAAAGAGUUGAAAAUAUAGUUGAUAAAAUUACCCAUACUAAUUUUGCAUAUGAAUACUAUUCAUUUUUUAAAAGAAAUAUUUAAUGAUAAAAAUUUUCAAAAAAUUAAAAGAAAAAUAUAAUUUUCAAAUAUUGAAAAUCUUUAAAAAAAAAUAUUGUAAUGGUGAUGUGAAUUGAAAUAUAAGGAAAGUUGAAAUUUGAAAUACAGGUUAUACAUGUGACUGAUUGGAAGAAAAGAAAAACUUAAGAGUACGUUAGAUAACUAUUUUCAAGAACAAUUUUUGAUUUUUUAGAAGAAAAAUUAAGGAAACAUGCUUAUUAAUCAGAAACUGUUUUUAUUUUUAAAAAUCAUUUUUUAGUUGUUUCCUAUUAUUUUUACUUUUUUGUCAAGACCGUUUUAAAAAAUAAUUAUGUAAGCAUAUAGAAUGAUUAAAAAUAAAGUAGUAGAUAUAAAAUUAUUUUUAAAAAAUAUUUAAAAAUAGGUUAAAAACAUUUUAAGUUUUCAAAUUGACUUUUAUUUAAUUUAUAAAACAGUAGAGAACAAUUUUUAAAAACUGUUCUUAAAAAAAAAAAUUCAAAACUGUUUUCGAAAACAGUUACCAAACAAAACCUAAAAUUUUGAGUUAGAAUUUUUAUUUUUUUUUUAUACUUGAAUAAAUACUUUCCCCAAAUCAUUUACAAUUUUUGAACUCAAAUUUAAGUCUUAAGAUAGAUAGGAAGAUAUAUUAAAACUAAUGAUUUUUUCAUUACAUGUGGAGAGUAUGUCUAGGUUGAAUAUUAUUCAUCAGCUCAUGAAAUUUCAAUUUUAAAUUAAACUCUCGUCAUUAUUAUGGUUUGGAAAAAUAUUUGAGGUGGUUUCUACCAUCUUAAAGCGUCAAUAAGACGAAAUUUUGAGUAUGUUAUUUAAGCUUCUUCUAAAAUUAGAAAAUCGAGGAGAGAAGGAAGGUGGAAAAUAAAACAGAGAAAAAAAAUACAAAAAUGAAAAAAAGAUUUGAACUUGAUAUGUAUACAUAUAUUUUCUAUAUAGCUUUUUAAAUAAUCUCCUAAUAUAAAAAUUGAAAAUACACAUGAAUUUUUGAAUUAUUUUUUAUAUUUUUUAUUAUUGUUGUAGUAUGUGGCUCAUAUUUAUUGAAAAAAACAUAUGAAGAAAAAUGGGCAAAUGUCAGAGCGAAGCGGAGUGAAAGUCUUCUUCCCUGUUCCCGUGGACGUAGGCAAUUUGUCGAACCACGUUAAAUCUGUGUCUUUCUUCAUUUUCAUUUUCUUUAAUUUUCACCAUAAAUCAUUGCACGUAAAUCAACAAUUGGUAUCAGAGUGUGAGGUUCGAUGUCUGAGAUUUCUUAUGUGAAGUUCGAUGGAUAUGGGAAUUUCGGUCUAUGGCAGAGAAGGGUUAAGGAUCUGUUAGUGCAACAAGGUAUGGUGAAGGCGUUAUACAAAAAGCAACCAAAAAGAAUGAACAACAUGGAUUGGAAGGAUUUGGAAGUGAAGGUUGCGGCAAUUAUCAGGCUUUGUUUGGCUGAUGACAUGAUGUACCAUGUCAUGGAUGAGGAAUCACUAGCAGCAAUUUGGUUGAAAUUGGAAAGUCGGUAUAUGUCUAAGUUGUUGACGAAAAAAGUUGUAUCUUAAGCAGAAACUAUAUGAUCUUAAGAUGGCAGAAGGCUCAUAUCUAAGCCCGACAUAUCAACGUGUUCAAUCAGAUCAUCAGUGAUUUGAAGCGAAUUGAUAUGAAGUUCGAAGACGAAGACAAGGCGUUGAUGUUACUAAAUUAUCUUCCCGCUUCUUCUAUGUAUGAAAAUCUGGUUACAACUCUGAUGUGGAGGAAAGAAACUCUUGAUUUGGAGGAGAUCACGAGUAUUCUUUUAGGAUUCAAUUAAAGGAAGAAAACCAAUGAUGAGAGUUCUCAAGGUGAAAGGCUUGUGGCAAAGAGUAAUUCGAAACAUGGGAGAAACAAGUCCUAGAGCUAAUUGAGUAACAAUAAAUCUUGAUCUAAAUCUAGGAAGAGAAAUGACAUGCAAUGUUAUAAGUGCAGAAAAAUGGGGCACAUGAAACGAGAUUGUCUAGAGAAAAAUAAAGGGAGCUCGAUAUCGGAAAAUAAAGAGGGUUCAUCAAAGUCUACGAAUGUAGUGGCAUAAGAAGACUCAGAGAGUGGUGAUAGUGAUAUGCUAUUGGUUUCAUCCAAUUUAGAUCAUCUUACAGAUUAUUGGAUCUUGGAUUCAGCAUGCUCAUAUCAUAUGACACCCAAUAAAGAUUGGUUUAACACUUACAGGUCAGUAAAUUCUGGUUCUGUUCUGAUGGGUAAUGACGCUUCAUGUAAAGUUGCUGGAAUAGGGAAUAUCAUAAUUAAAAUGUUUGAUGGUGUUGUUAGAACAUUGUGUGAUGUUAGACAUGUAUCUGAUUUAAGUAAGAAUCUUAUUUCCUUAGGGACUUUAGACUGUAACGGGUUUAGUUACAAGUCUACAAAUGGAGUAAUGAAGGUGAGUAAAGGUGCUAUGAGAGUGAUGAAAAGGUAAAAACUAGCAAGAAAUAUUUAUAAACUAUUAGGUACCACAAUUGUAGGUGAAAUUGCAACCACAAAGUUUGAGUCAAACAGUACGGUCUUGUGGCAUAUGCGGUUAGGGCAUAUGGGUGAGCGUGGGAUGAUGGAGCUUCAUAAGAGAAAUCUGUUGAAGGGUAUCAAAAUAUGUAAACUUGAUUUCUACAAGUAUUGUGUUUUUGGGAAACAGAAGAAAGUGUAGUUCAAGACAGCCACACACAAGACAGAGGAGUUUAUUGAUUAAGUUCAUACAGACGUUUGGGGACUAGUAAGGGUAGCAUCAUUGGGAGGAAAUAGGUAUUUUAUGAGUUUUAUUGAAGAUUACUCACGAAAGGUUUGGGUGUACUUCAUGCGGCACAAGUCGAAAACAUUUGCCAAGUUUAAGUUGUGGAAAGCUAAAGUAGAAAACCAGACAGGGAGAAAUAUAAAAUGCCUCAGGUCAGAUAAUGGUACUAAAAAUAUAGAUUGAAAGUUCACGGAAUUGUGUGAGCAACAUGGGAUUAAGAGACAUUUCACAGUACGUAAGACACCACAACAGAAUGGUGUAACAGAAAGGAUGAAUAGAACAAUAGCUAAAAGAGCUCGAUGUCUCAAAUUGAAUGUAGGCCUUGAAAAGAAAUUUUGGGCAGAAGCAGUGAACAUGGCAUGUUACUUGAUCAACAGGUCACCCAGAGCAGCAUUAGAUGGGAAAGAAGCAAAGGAGUUAUGAACAGGCAAUCCGAUAGAUUACUCUAGUUUGAGAGUAUUUGGGAACCCAGCCUAUGUGCACAUUCCUAAUGAGGAGAUAUCAAAGCUUCAUGUGAAGUCUAGACAAUGUAUUUUUCUAGGGUAUUAGAAAGGGGUGAAAGGUUUCAAGCUCUAGGAUCCAAAGGCAAACAAGGUGGUGAUCAGUAGAGAUGUGAUUUUUGAUGAGAAAGGCAUGUUAUAGUGUACUCAGAAAUGAGAGAAACAGGAACCAAAAAAUUGUAGCAAUAAUGAGCAGUUGAUACAUGUGGGAUUAGAGACCCAUGAUAUAGAGGAUCAUGCUCGAAAUACGGGGAAGUCUAGUUCAAAAUAUCAGUAGCAUCACAGUAUAGUCAUAGACAAACACAAACGCACUAUUAGGCCACUUACCAGGUAUGGUUUUGAAGAUUUGGUUUCUUAUGCAUUGAUUACUAGUAGCAGGGAUCCUACUACUUUUCAAGAGGCAAUACACAACCAAGAGAAAAGUAGAUGGAUGGGUGCUAUGGUGGAAGAGAUUCAGUCUUUGCAUAAAAACUAGACAUGGGAUUUGGUGGAGCUUCCCAAGGGAAAGAAAGCAAUAAGAUGUAAACAGGUGUACAAGAAGAAAAAAGCGAUUUCAGAAAAAAAAAAAAAUGGUGAAAAUUUCAAAGCUUGUUUAGUAGCAAAAGGUUACUCACAUAGGAAAGGGGUUGACUAUGAUGAGAUCUUCUCUCCCAUGGUCAAACACACUUCCAUCAGGACAGUGUUGGGUUUAGUAGCCCAUUUUGACAUGCAAUUGGAGCAAAUGGAUGUAAAGAUAGCUUUUCUUCAUGGUGAUUUGGAGGAGUUGGUCUAUAUGGUACAACCAAUAGGGUUUAUUCAACCUGAACAAGAACAGUACUUGGUCUGUAAAUUGAGUAAAUCACUUCAUGGGUUGAAGCAGUCCCGUGCUACAAACGAUUUGACUCCUACAUGAUUAGGAUUGGCUACAAGAGAUGUAAUCGGAGCGCAAUCAUAACUCAUGAGCCAAAAUUUUCCUUUUGUAAUUCAAACGUAACCGGAGCGCAAUUAUUUUCUUUCGUUCCUCACCAGGUACAACGUUUCUGAAAGAGUAUUGAUAUUGAUAUAUCAUGCGAAUCAAAAUCGUCUCAUGGUGUGAAGGCAUGCAGCUGGGCGGCAGACAAUUAAUUAAAUGCAGGUCUAGAAUGAUCUCAACAUUCAACCGACUGAGAAUGAUUGAAGCAUAUUGACUUUGAAUUUGUAAUUGGUGCAGAAACAGUCUGCAUGGCUACCAGCCUGCCACAUGCUCUGUGUGGUUACCCUCCACGCCAUGUGUUUAUCUGUCGAACUUUGUUAAUUGGAUUCAAACCUAUUCCCUCGUCAUCAAAUCAAUCUUUUUGUACGAAAAUAGACUAUUAUUAUACUCGAUGCGCGUGCCAAUAAAAUUUUGACGGGUGACAAUCAAAAGUUAUUUCUAGAUGACGAGGCCUCCAUGGAAGAAGCUCUAACCUUGAAGGGUGAAAACAGUGGUUAUCAAGGGUGAAAGGGCUACCUACCUACAUAAUUAACAAAUGGCUUCUUUUGGUUUUUGGGAGGAAUGAUUUGAUUUUCUUAAUAUUAUCAUUAAGCCUUUUAGGGAUUAUAAGGAUUGACCAGGAUGAUGAUUAAUCAAAAGUUAAGGCAAAUUUUGAAUCUAAGCAUACCAGCUAUUUAUUUUAUUUUGUUUAUAUCAUAGGUAAUCUCACGAACCUAGGUAUAUUCCUUAAACCAAGUGUACGUCUUGUUUGUCUGUGUGUCUUUUUCUGAUUCUACUAUUCUGUUUGUCAAAUUAGAAGAACCUUCAUACAUCAAAACCUACAUCAUUUACGCAUGGCUGAUAGUAAAAAAGAUGAUGUAUCAAGCUAUUUGUAAAAGCUAACUUGAACAAUUUUCCCAAAGAUCCCGGAUGAGAGAACCUUCGAUCGGGAGGAUAAAUGACUCCAAGUAGCAUUCAUGUAUGAUUUAUAUUUGAUCCCAUUGAUGAUACCUAUCAUUCUUCAUCGGCUAUCUUUGUUACUCUUCUCCUUUACUUUGAAAAAAUAGAGUUGCUUACUCAAGUACAAGAUGUCUAUUAGACAAAUAAAUGACCCACCUGCAAAAGUGAAGCUCUAUCAAAUGAACUAUAUCACCUUGAGCCAAAUGAAGCAUGCAUAAAUGAAUCAGAUGAUUAAUAUACAACACAGAAAUAUCACUUGUAGAAACCUUGGUGAAAUUAGUUGAAAUAAUACCAGCCACCCUCCAAUUAAUUUAUAUAGCCUUUUGGACUUCUAUGCCUUUCACACAUCAUUUUAAGGUCAAAUAUUUCAACAUCUGAACUACAUCUCAGACCAUUAAAAAUCUUAUCAAAAUUGAUGUAAAGUCCCACAUGAAAGACGACCAGCGACAACCUCCCUAGCUAUCAAUUCAUUUAAGUAUGUUAUGGACUACAAUACUUGACAUUCCAAUAUAAUUUCAGCCUCAUCUACAUGCUGAGCUGAGUAUCAUGGAGCCUGUAGGUGAUCUGGAUUCAAGACAGCAGGCUCUCAAGCCUAUUCAAACAAAGAGAUCAGCAGGAAGAGAAGUAGAAGGAGAUGGCGAAAAACCCGAGGAUAUCGAAGAAGAAGAAGAAGAACCUCUGAGUCCAGCUGCUCGAAUAUUUCAUGAACCUUGCUUCAAUGUCUAAGUCAUAGCCAUUGCUGGGUGCAAAACCAGAAUCAAUGUUGAUCUUUUUCCAGUAAAGAAGACCUCGAAUCCUGAUCCGGUAAACUCUGGCAGGAUUUGGUGGACAAUUCUAAAUUUUAAAUAGUUUGAUAACAUUCUAAAUUUUCAAAAAAAAACCUUUUAUUCCAAAAAACAAAAACUAAUUUAGAAAACCAUUCCCAAAAAAUAACUUUUUUAGAAUGGGUAUCUAAAAUAUUCCUAACGUUCCACGUAGCAACUAUGUGACAUAAAGUACCAUAAAUUUAGAAAUAUUUUAAGGUACCAUAUUUUAAAAAAAUAUUUUUAAAAAAUAUUUUAAAAAUUUUAUAUAUUUGUUUAUAUUAUAAGAUCCUUGUAUUUAUAUCUCAAAUUACUCAAAAAUAUCCUUGAAUGGUUUCUAUUGAUUUAAAAAGUAGUAGAACAAUUUAUUUCUUCUGACAGUGUCGGUCGCUUUGGGCAUUUUUUACAAUUAAAACAUGGCAUGAAAGUUUGGUACGGUGGUUGAAAUUAUCAUAAAUUUGAAAGGGAUGCCCAAGUUCCGUCCAAAUCUCAAAAACGAUAGUUGGUUCAAUUACUCUCCAUGUGCAAGCCAAAUUCUUUCCUGGCAAAACCCUCAAAUCCAUUUCUUGGAACUAAAAUUUGUACCGUCUCUAUCAUUAAUCCUAAAUUCAAUUUGAAAUUCCAAACUUCAAUAUUAUGAGUUCGAAAUUAAUUUCCAAUGUGGUCUUAUAACUCAUAUGCCACUGGAUUCUAGAUAGGAGCAGAACCAACAAUGGUGGAGACACGCCAUCUUUCCAUUUCCAUUGAUGACUUGAAGGGGGGCCUACCUACCUACAUACCUAUUAAUAAGUGGCUUCGGUUUAUUUAGAUAAUGAACAUAUACCCAAAAAAAGACUUUAUUAAGAGAAGUAUAUAAAAAAGAUAGAACAUUAAACUAUUCGUAAAGACCGAUUUGAUCGACUUUUCUUGAGAUCCUAAAUGAGGAAACCUUAGGAAGGGUAAAAGACUCCAAGUAACAGUCACGUACGAUAUCAGCUUUUCCCCUUUCCUUUGACAGAUAAGAGUUACCUACUCAAUUGCAGGAUGUUUAUUAGACAAAUAAAUGCCCCAGCUACAAAAGUGAAGCUCUAUCAUGUGAGCUAUAUCACCUUGAGCCAAAUGAAGCAUGCAUAAAAAAGAAUUAGAUGCUUCUUUAUAUAUGUUUGUAUAUGUAUAACACAUGAUAAGAUCAUUCAUGCAGCCUGUUGAUUUUCUUACAACAAUUCUUAGUGAAAAAAUUAGAAAAAAACAAAAGAAAACACACAAAUUUAAUGUGAUUUGACAAAUUGUCUAUAUCCACGAGAAUAAAAAGGAAGACUUUUAUUACAUCUAAAAUUAAGAUUAUAUAAAAAGGUAUUUAUAUUAACCAUCAAAUAUUAAAAUUCUAAAAAUACCCUUAAAUCGUACCAUGAAGGGGCGUUGCCUCUCGCACCCCCAACAUAUCGUUCACCCUCAAUAAUAAAAAUAUGAAUUUGAAUGAAAAAUGUCAUCAUUCCACUAUGUUCUACUUCAAUAUUUAACCAUUUUUCUCCAUAUAUAUAUAUAAAAGCCACAUAAUACAACACAGCCUUUUUAAAUGUGUUUCACACAUCAGUUGAAGGUCAAACAUUUCAAUAUCUCAACUAUAUGAUGCGCAAUUAAAAAUCUUAUCAAAAUUGAUGUAAAUCAUGUUACUGGUGUCCCACAUGAAAGACUUAUGUGUCCUAGCGCUCCAACUAGCAACAACCUUCCUGUCAUUUCAUUUAAGUACGUUGGACUACUGCUAUAUAUGUGUUUGCACAAUACUUGACAUUCCGAUAUAGUUUCAGUCUCAUCCAAAAGCUGAGCUGCGUGUCAUGGAGCCAGUAGGUGAUCUGGAUUCAAGACAGCAAGCUCUCAAGCCCAUUCAAACAAAGAGAUUAGCAGCAAGAGAAGUUGAAGGAGAUGGCAAAAAACCCGAGGAUAUCAAAGAAGAAGAAGAAGGAGAAGCUUUGAGUCCAGUUGGUCGAAUUUUUCAUGAAACUUGCUUCAAUGUCUAUGUCAUAGCCAUUGCUGGGUUCAAAAUCAGAAUCAAUGUGGAUGUUGUUAAAGCCAAUUUGGAGCACACUCUGCUUAAGCACCCUCGUUUCUCUAGCUUGCAGGUAUGAAAAAAGCUUUUUGGUACAUUAAUUAAUAUCUUAGCAUGAUAUAUAUCUAAACCAAGCUUCUUUUACGUAAGGCUUUAUUUGAAUGCCUGUCCUAUUUUUUUGUUUUUAAAAGAUAAAAACUCAUCUCCUCUUGGCUUAUCAAUUUAUUUUUUUAUAUUAUCUCGAUUAGGUGAAGGACGUGAAAAAGGAUGGAGGGAUGAAAUGGGUUCCAACAAAGGUGGACUUGGACAAGCACAUUAUAAUACCAAGCCUCCACCACACCAUUUCUUCACCAGACAAGAUGGUGGAAGACUACAUCUCCAAUCUCAGUAAAACCUACAUAGACUACUCUAAGCCUCUUUGGGAGCUCCAUAUUCUCAACAUUAAGACCUCGGAUGCCGAGUCUGUCGCCGUUUUCCGAAUCCACCAUUCCCUGGGUGACGGCAUGUCCCUCAUGUCUCUUGUCCUCUCUUGCUCCCGUCAAAUCUCCAACCCGAAAGCUCUCCCAACUUUGCCAGCGAAAAAGACUUCGAAUCCUGAUCCGGUAAACUCCGGCAGGAUUUGGUGGACAAUUCGACUGGUUUGGAAUACUAUUAUAGAUGUUUUGAUGUUUCUUGCCACAACUCUCUUCUUAAAGGAUACCAUGACACCACUCAGCAAUGGUUGGAAAAAGGGAGGUGGGCAUGUGCCAAGGAGGUUUGUUUACCGAACCGUUAGUCUUGAUGAUAUUAAACUAAUCAAGAAUGGGAUGAAAACAGUAAGUUGAUUCCAAAAACUGGCUCCACCCUUUAAGUUUCCUUGUAUACUUGUGCUUUAAAUAGAAACAUAAUACAACAUUUUCAUUUUUAAAAAUAAGACAAAUUUCAAUUAAAAUAAUAAUAAUGAUUAUUUUAAAAAAUAAUUUAAAAUAAAUAUAAAUUGAUUACCUAAUUUAUGUUUUUUAUCAAAUUUAUUAUUACUUUUUUUUAUAUUUUUAUUUAAAAAUAAAAUAGCCUACACGUGAAAUAUAUAACAAUGUAAACUUAUGGGUUUACAUUAUUUAGACUUAAUAAAUCAUAUUGUUUUGGGGCAUUGCAGACUAUUAACGAUGUUGUAAUGGGAGUGUCAUUGGCUGGUCUUUCUCGAUAUCUCAAUAGAAGAUAUGGUAAGCUUUCAUUAAUUCUCAGUUCAAUUUCUCUACCUACCCAACCAUUGUAUCCAAGCUUACAAGUCACAUUGAAGCUAUGUAUAUAAUAUAAUCAAUUGGGAAAUUUGGAAGAGAGCUAGAUAAAAUAAUCUUUAAACUAUAUGAGUAGAAACUCUUUAACAUGUGUUCCAUUUAUUAAUUGCAGGUGAGACCAAGGAAGAUAAAGGAGCCACCCAAAAGAAAAAUAAUCUUCCGAAGAAUAUUCGCCUGAGGGCAACUCUUAUGAUGAAUAUAAGACCAUCACCAGGGCUUCAUGUGAGUGAUUUUCAUAUUCAAUUUGAAAGAAUAUUUGUAGGAAAAUGUGGCUGCUGUGUGGCCAACUUUAAGAUGUGGCCAACUUUAAGAUAUAAUAGGGAUUUUGUUUUCAACAGCUUUUAACCUCUGUUUUCAAAGUGUAUAGAACAACAACGGUUAAGGUCAUGUUUGGAUGCAUUUCUUACUUUUUAUUUUUAAACAUAAAAAAUAGUAUAUAAAACAUAGGAAUUAUUAACGAAAAAAAAUAGAAAAAAAAAUGAAGGAAAAUAAAAUUUAGAUUCAAAAUCAAUAAUUUAUUUUUAUAUGUUUUUUCAAACUCAUUCUACUUAGUUCUUCUAUCAUAUAAAGAUCAAAUAAUUUUUAAAUGUAUACAUUUUUAACUAAUUUUAAUUAUAUUUAAUUUUCUUUAAAAAAAAUUUAUGGUGAAGUCAAAUAUGAGAAAACUAUUUUUUUUAGCAUUUUUUUUAUUUUUUUAUUACUUCCCGAAAACCAAACAACCAAUAUAUUACUUUGAAAAGUGUAUAAGAGUAUGAAGUUAUGUUUUAAUAGUAACUUUAAUGUUUAAAAAGUUCUCUCAAUAAGAGGAUUAUAAUAUACAUUAAACUCGAUACUCUGAUUAUUAGUGGAUAUAACUAUCAAAAUGCUUUCAAAACACAUUUUCCAUUUAAAUUAAAAUAUUAAUUAAUUUUCUAUAGAAAUAUCUUCAAUAAAUUGUUAGUGAAAAAAAAAUGUUUUAACAACAAUCACCUUAAAAUCCUUCAUGUGCUACAAAACAAAUUGAUUGGUUUAUUCAUCAUGAAAUUUCAUGGUAAUUAGGCUUUAGCGGAGAUGAUGGAGAAGGGGUCUAAAGCGAAAUGGGGAAAUUGGAUUGGAUCUAUGCUCCUCCCUUUUGCCAUUGCCUUAUAUGAUGACCCUUUAGACUAUGUUCGUCAAACUAAAGCCACAAUCGAUCGAAAGAAGCAUUCUCAUGAAGCUAUAUUUACAUGUUUCAUUAUUAAGACAGUUCUCAAAUUAUUUGGUGCUAAGGUAUGAAUUUCCUUAUCCUUAAUAUUGAAAUAGAUCACCUAGGAAAUUAUACAUUUUCAAGCUCCUCUUCUUCCAAAAAAAAUAAUAAUAAUAAAAUCUAACUUCUAUUUUUUGUUUUCUUUCCUUUCUACUUUCUUCUUGUGAUCUUACCUUGGAGAUCUUUUUUUUGGCAUGGCAAAUAGGUUGCAGCAUUUUUAUACCAUAGAGUUAUGAAUCACACGACAAUGUGCUUCUCAAAUGUGGUUGGACCUAUGGAAGAAAUCGGUUUUUAUGGCCAUCCAAUGGCUUUCCUUGCUCCAAGCGUUUACGGCCAACCACAAGUAAGUCUAUAUAUAUAUAUAUGUGUGUGUGUGUGUGUGUGUGUGGUUAUUUGAUUAAAUGGGUCAUUGAAAACUCAAAUAUGAAAAAAUGACCUUUGUGGUUUGAAAGCAUGAACCAUAAUCGAGAAAUUAUAUUUGUAUUCAUCAAUUUUUUAAUUACAUUUAUCAUAUUUAUACAUUCACUUUAAAAUACUAACCGUAUUAAUACAUCACCUACAAAUUUCCAAUAUUAUAAAAACACCCUUCCUAUUCUUCUCUUUUUUACACAUUCACUUUAAAAUACUAACCGUAUUAAUACAUUACCUACAAAUUUCCAAUAUCAUAAAAACACCGUUCCCAUUCUUCUCUUCUAUACCUAUCUUUUUUUUCUUUUUUUUUCUAUUAACUUUUUUUCUUCUCAAUAAUAAAUCCUAAGAGAAACUAUCUUUUAGGGCUUAUUCUUCAUGUAAAUUUUGAUUAAAAAAACAUUUUGUAAAAAUAGUUGAAAAACAAAUAGAAUUUUUUUUAUAAAUAAUUAGAAGUGAGAAAUCAUGAAAAAGUUCAAAAGAAAUAAUAUUAUGACUGACUUUUUAUUAUGUGUUUUGUUGUAGGGAUUGAUGAUUCAUUUCCAAAGUUACAUCAAUAAAAUGACAUUUAUUCUUUCAGUUGAUGAAGAAAUAAUUCCUGAUCCUAAUCGAUUAUGUGAUGAUCUUGAAGAGUCACUCAAGUUUAUCAAGGAUGUUGUUAUUGCAAGAGGUCUUGUCUAGAAAAAUUCCAUAAAAUAAGAAUGAUUAUUACAUGUUACAUCCAUAUAUGAACUAUGAAGAUUUGUGCUUUUAUGGUCAUUUGUGGUUUUAAUCGAGUGUGUUUUAUAAAUCUAAAGUGAAAUGUUUUAUUUUCGAAUAAAUUUUGAGCUUUAUAAUGUUAUAUAUAUGUCACAUGCACGUAUGCUUGGAAAUUUUUAUAUGAGAAUAAGACAUGUGGGUCAUGCCUUGUUUUGGGAAUGGGCCUAACUUGGGCCAGCCUUGGGCUUGAGCCUAAUUAGGUCUUAAGUUGGGCUAAUUAGUACGAUGAAGUCAAAAACUAGCAAAAUUUUGGGCUCCAUGAUAUCUCAAAAUUUAAAAUUGAUUAAAGCCAUUAAUAUCGGGCCACAUCAACGGCUAAAGUUGCAAGGCGACAACCGCCAUCACUUGGCAACUCCCAAGCCCUGUUGCUCUAAUGGCUAGAGAUAUUAAUCCGCCUGAACCCUAGAAAAAACUCAUAGAUAUAUAUAUAGAGAGAAAAUAUAUUAUACUUAAAAACAAAUUUAAAAUAAUGAUUUAUAUACUCAAAAACAGUUUAAUAUAAUGAUUUAUUUAGUUAAAUAUAUUUAAGGAUAUAAAAAAAUCAUGACACAGAUAUGAUUACUUUUUAAUUAUUUAAAAAUAUUUAAAAUAUUAUUUUCCAGUUUAUACUUUUCUUAUAUUUAAUAUUAAAAAUUUUAAUUUAAUUACAAAAUAGAUGAUGUAGUUUGAUAAAUUUAAAAAAAUAAUUAAAAUUUAUUUUUUUAUUAAGUUUAAUAUUUUAGAUUAUAAUAAAUCGAUUUUAUGUGCUUUUAUAAAUAUCAAUCAAGUUUAGCUUGGUAGUGAAGUGGCGUGAUAAAAGUUGUUUUCUCUUUAUUAAAUCCAACCUUUUUCUUUAAUAAUUUUAAAAACUUCAAUGUGUUGUAAAAUAAGGACAAAUAUAAUGCAAAUCAAAGUAGUAGAGAUAAAAUAUGUCUUACAUUGAUAUAUAAUAUGAAAGAAGGAAUCAAAGAAGAGAAUUGAGAAAGUGAAAGAAAGAGAGAGAGAGAAUGAGAAGAAGAACUUUUCUUUUUUUUCUUGGGAUGUCUAUUACAGGAAACGGGAAGCCCUUUUAUAGGUUUUUUAAAUGGCUUCCAUUAAUAUCCUCAUUAAUGAAUAUUAAUGAAACUCAUAAAUAACAUUAAUGGUUUCCAUUAAUGAGUAUUAAUGGAAGUCAUAAAUAAUACUUAAUUAACAUUAAUGUGGUGACAUUCAUUACUACAAUUAUAACACUUCCUCUUGGAUGUUCACCACAUUGAAAGAAUAUGCCUCAUUAAAACCUUGCUAGUAAAAAACCCUAUAGGAAAAACCUAGCGAAGGAAAAAGAGUACAAUAUUCUUUUCUUGGUAUAUUAGGAUUGCCUCAUUAAAAACCUUGUUAGUAAAACCCAGUAGGACAAAACCUGGACGAAGGAAAAAAUAGUACAGUACACUAACACCCUUUUACAAGCAUACUCCCCCUCAUGUCGAUAUCCUUGAGUUGACGCAUUCCAAUUCUGUAUAUUAACUUCUUGAAUGUUGAGGUUGGCAAUGAUUUUGUGAAUAAAUCUGUUAGAUUAUUACUUGAGCGUAUUUGUUGCACAUCAAUUUCACCACUUUUCUGGAGUUCAUGUGUAUAAAAGAAUUUUGGUGAAAUGUGUUUAGUUCUAUCUCCUUUAAUAUAACCCCCUGUUAUUUGUGCAAUGCAUGCAACAUUAUCUUCAAAUAAUAUUGUCGGGUCACCUUUGAUAGAGGAGAGUCCACAUGAUUCCCGAAUAUGCUGGAUCAUAGAUCUUAGCCAUAUACAUUCACGACUUGUUUCAUGAAUUGCCAGUAUUUCUGAAUAAUUUGAUGAUGUGACCACCAUUGUUUGUUUGACAGAUCUCCAUGAAAUAGCAGUACCAUUGCAAUUAAACACAUACCCUGUUUGUGACCUGCCUUUAUGUGGAUCUGAAAGAUAUCCUGCAUCUGCAUAUCCAAGCAAUUGUUGCUUUGAUUCCCUUGAGUAAAAUAAACUCAUAUCAAUAGUUCCACGAAGAUAACGCAAUAUAUGUUUGAUACCAUUCCAAUGUCUUCGAGUUGGAGCGGAACUGUAUCUUGCCAAUAAAUUAACAGAAAAAGCAAUGUCUGGACGUGUACAAUUGGCAAGAUACAUAAGUGCACCAAUAGCACUAAGAUAUGGUACUUCAGGACCAAGUAACUCUUCAUCUUUUUCGCAAUGACGAAAUGGGUCAUUUUUCACAUCAAGUGAUCGGACAACCAUUAGAGAACUUAAAGGAUGCGCUUUGUCCAUAUAAAAACGCUUCAAAACUUUCUUAAUGUAUGUUGAUUGAUGUACUAAAACUCCAUUUGGAAAAUGCUUGAUCUGUAAGCCAAGACAAAAUUUUGUUUUUCCAAGAUCUUUCAUCUCAAAUUCCUUUUUCAAGUAAUUUGUUGUUCUUGUGAGCUCUUCAGGAGUUCCAACAAGAUUUAAGUCAUCAACAUACAUUGCAAUAAUUGUAAAUCCGGUUUCUGAUUUCUUAAUGAAAAUGCAUGGGCAUAUAGGGUUAUUCACAUACCCUUCUUUUAGCAAGUAUUCGCUAAGGCAAUUGUACCACAUGCGUCCAGAUUGCUUUAAUCCAUACAAGGAUCGUUGUAACUUGAUUGAGUACAUGCUACGAGGCUUUGUGUUAUUUGCUUCAGGCAAUUUAAAUCCUUCAGGGAUUUUCAUGUAUAUAUCAUUAUCCAUGGAUCCGUAUAAAUAUGUUGUAAUAACAUCCAUGAGACGCAUAUCUAGUCCUUCUAAGACUGCCAAACUAAUUAAGAAACGAAAUGUGAUUGCGUCCAUGACGGGAGAAUAUGUUUCCUCGUAGUCAAUACCAGGUCUCUACGAGAAACCUUGUGCUACUAAUCGCGCUUUAUAUCUUAUGAUCUCAUUAUUUUCAUUGUGUUUUCGUACAAAUACCCAUUUGUACCCAACAGGCUUUACAUCUUCAAGUGUUUGGACUACAGGUCUAAAAACUUCUCGUUUUAUUAAUGAGUUUAAUUCUGCCUGUAGAACUUCUUUCCAUAUUAGCCAAUCAUUUCUAUGUCGACAUUCUUCCACAUUUCGUGGUUCGGGAUCUUCAUCAUUUCUUAUGAUAUCAGAGGCCACUUGGAAAGCAAAAAUAUUGUUAAUAACAAUAUUAUUUCGAUCCCAUUUUUCUCCCGUUUGUACAUAACCUACUGAGAUCUCACAAUUUUCAGGUACCUGUGCCUCUUCAGGGGCUUCUUGUUCAAUAUGUGCCUCUUCAGGGGCUUUCUGCAUUAUUUGUGCCUCUUCUAGGGCUAUAGAUUUAUCAAUUUUAAGCUUAUCAGUUAUUUUGAUUGUCUCUUCUAGAGUGCCAAGUUUUUCUUGGGUUCUCCUCUUCCAGGGAGUUACAUCAUUUGAGCCGACAGGUCUACCACGCUUUAGGUGUAUCUUAGAUUCAUUUGUUAACUGUCCUAUAGGGACAUCAAUCCGUGCUGGAAUAUUUACAGCCGGGAUAUGUGACUUUGUCAUUUUCUUUGUAUCAAUGAAUGCAUCUGGUAAUUGAUUUGCAAGAUUUUGCAAAUGAAUGAUCCUUUGAACUUCUAGUUCACAUUGAUUUGUACGAGGAUCAAGAUGAGUCAUAGUAAAUGUCUCCCAACUAAUUCUCGUCGUUCUUCAGGAAUCGACUUUUCUCCCCCUAAUGAUAGGAAAACACUUUCAUUAAAAUGACAAUCCACAAAGCGGGCUGUAAAAACAUCGCCUAUCAAAGGUUCAAGAUAUCUUAUGAUAGAUGAAGAAUCAAAACCUACAUAAACCCCAAGUCUUCGUUAGGGACCCAUUUUAGUGCGUUGUGUAGGUGCAAUUGGUACAUAUACUGCACAACCAAAGAUUCGUAAGUGAGAGAUAUUUGGUUGUUUUCCAAGCACAAGUUGUGAAGGGGAGUAUUCAUGGUAAGUUGUAGGUCGAAUACGGACUAAAGCUGCAGCAUGCAUAAUAGCAUGUCCCCAGGCGGAAGUAGGUAAUUUGGUUUUCAUUAGUAAUGGUCGAGCUAUUAAUUGGAGACGUUUGAUGAAGGAUUCUGCUAAACCAUUUUGGGUAUGAGUAUAAGCAACAGGAUGCUCAAUAUUUAUCCCUACUGACAUGCAAUAGUCAAUGAAUGUUUGAGAAGUAAAUUCGCCAGCAUUAUCAAGACGUAUUGUCUUAAUUGGAUAAUCUGGAAAUUGUGCUCGUAAUCUGAUUAUUUGUGCAAGGAGUCUAGCAAAGGCUACAUUACGUGUAGAAAGGAGACAAACAUAUGACCACCUAGUAGAAGCAUCUAUUAAGAUCAUAAAAUAACAGAAUGGUCCACAUGGUGGAUGGAUAGGCCCACAUAUGUCCCCAUGUAUUCUUUCUAAAAAGAUUGGUGACUCAGAUAUGACUUUAGUAAAAGAUGGUCUGAUUAUCAAUUUACCUUGUGAGCAGGCAGCACAUGAGUAUUCAUUGGGCAAAAGAAUCUUCUGGUUCUUUAGUGGAUGCCCAUGUGAGUGUUCGAUUAUUCGACGCAUCAUUGAAGACCCUGGGUGACCUAGCCUGUCAUGCCAAAGGACAAAAACUUUUGGGUCGUUGAACUUCUGGUUCACGACAACAUAUGAUUCAAUAGGCUUUAUAGUUGUAUGAUACAACCCAGAGGAGAAAGCCGGGAGUUUUUCCAUUAUAAGCUUCUGGCCAGAUAUAAUGGAAGUAAUGUAAAGAUAUUCUACAUUAUCUUCAUUCAUAGUUUCAAUAUGAUAUCCAUUUCUGCGGAUAUCUUUAAAACUGAGCAAAUUUCUUCUGGAUUUGCUAGAAUAUAACGCGUCAUUUAUAUGGAAUCUAGUUCCAUUUGGCAACGUUAUGUUUGCUCUUCCAGAACCUUCAACUAAGUUUGUAGUACCAGAUAUGGUACUUACAUUAGCUUUUAUUAAUGUCAAUUCAAGGAAAUAUCUUUUAUCUCGAAGAAUUGUGUGCGUGGUCGCACAGUCUGCGAGACAUACAUCAUCCUCAUUCAUCUUGAGACCAAAUAACACAUGGACUUCAAAUAUAACAAAAAAAACAAGACAUAAUGUAAAUAACAAAGUAAAUCAGAUGUAAAUAUAAGACAUAAUAAUAUAUUAUUUCAUAUAUAAAGUAACAUCAAUCAAUGUUAAUUUUCUCAUCAUUUAUCAAAUGGUCUGUUUUUUCAUUGAGACCUCCAAAGAAAUCAAUGUCAUAGUAGGUUAGGUUCAAUCCAUCACCAUCGGUAAAGUUCAUCUCUAUCUCUUUUCCUUUAGCUUUUAUUGAUGCUUGGUAAAGGUCGACCAAAUGUUUGGGCGUACGACAGGUACGCGACCAAUGCCCCUUCAUACCACAUCUAUAACAAUUAUUCUCAUGGUUCUUAGGAGGUUUAUCUUGUAAACGCUUCCCAUUUUCUUGUAUUGUCUCAGUAUUGUUCCACUUCUGGUGGUGCAAUGAGGCUUUCAUUUUCUGAGAAUUAUUACUAUAAGAACCAUGGUAUCGAGAAUUUCUUCCUCGUCCACGUCCACGAGUUUGGGACGAUAUUGCAUUCACUUCAAGGAAUGGUUCAGAUCCAGUUGGACGAGACUGGUGAUUUCUCAUCAAAAGCUCAUUAUUUUGUUCAGCAACAAGAAUACAUGAUAUUAAUUCAGAAUAUUUUGUAAAUCUACGCUCUCGAUAUUGCUGUUGCAGGAGCACAUUCGAGGCAUGAAACGUAGUAAAAAUUUUCUCUAACAUGUCUUCCUCUGUGAUUUUUUUUCUCCACACAGCUUUAAUUGAGAGCUGAUUUUGAAAAGUACAGAGUUGUAUUCACUAAUAGUUUUAAAAUCUUGCAACCUUAGGUGCAUCCAAUCAUAUCGAGCUUUUGGGAGAAUCACAGUUUUCUGGUGGUCAUAUCUUUCCUUCAAAUUAUUCCAUAGAGUAAAAGGGUCUUUUAUCGUAAGAUACUCAUUUUUUAAACCUUCAUGGAGGUGAUGGCGAAGGAAAAUCAAUGCUUUUACGCGAUCCUGCAGGGAUGCUUGAUUUCCUUGUUUAAUCGUAGCUCCAAGGUUCAUUGCAUCAAGAUGUAAUUCAGCAUCAAGGAUCCAAGAUAGAUAGUUCUUUCCCGAAAUGUCAAGUGCCACAAAUUCGAGUUUUGUGAUAUUCGACAUUAUCAAAUAACUUCAUAUAUAUGACAAACAAUAUUAUUAAAAUCAGUUAUAAUAACUUGAUAGCAUUGAUAUAACUACGAUUAUAAACAAAAUCAAAUAAUUUGUUUAUAACUUUUAACAAUAUGUAACAAAACAAAUUAACAAUAAUAUAAAUAUGUAAAAUUUUAUUCUAUAUAAAUAACUUCAAGUUUAAGAUACGAGAAUUACCUUCAGAGCAAUUCGUGUUGAUAACGUGUUGUAAAAUAAGGACAAAUAUAAUGCAAAUCAUAGUAGAGAUAAAAUAUAUCUUACUUUGAUAUAUAAUAUGAAAGAAGGAAUCAAAGAAGAGAAUUGAGAAAGUGAAAGAAAGAGAGAGAGAGAGAGAGAGAGAAUGAGAAGAAGAACUUUUCUUUCUUUUCUCGGGAUGUCUAUUACCAGAGACAGGAAGCCCUUUUAUAGGCUUUUUAAAUGGCUUCCAUUAAUAUCCUCAUUAAUGAAUAUUAAUAAAACUCAUAAAUAACAUUAAUGGUUUCCAUUAAUGAGUAUUAAUGGAAGUCAUAAAUAAUACUUAAUUAACAUUAAUGUGGUGACAUUCAUUACUACAAUUAUAACACAAUGUUUAUUUUUUAUUUUGUUUCUCUUGCAUUUAUUGCAGGCCAAACUUGUCACAAAAUACUUUGUCAAGUUCCUUUCUAAUCUCUCUCCCCUCUAGCAAUCUCCAAUGGACCCAGUCAUUCUCUCAAGCCUUCAAAAUCGACACAAGGACUAACAAAAUGUGUGGACAAUAACAUCACGAAUCAUGAAUAAUCAAUUGCAUGCCUUCCUGAUAUUAAAUAUUGAAUGUGAUGUUAGAAAAUUCUUAAAAUUACAAAUAAUAAAAUUGAAAAUUCAACAUCAUACCUUUAGCUAUGGUAAUCAAAUUCACAAUUUAUGGGAGUAAAUAAAAAAUAGAAGAAAAUUAGGGAUUCAUUGGAUAGUUCUUCCAAAACCUUAUGUCCAUGCACCAAUGGAAACUUAAUCAUAAACUUCUUAUUGUGAAUAGAGAUUUUUAUCCCUAUGAAGUUUUAACAUAUAAUAUAAUAUUUCUUGAUAUCUUCUUCCCAUAAAAAAAAAAAGAUAAAAUAAAUACUGAUGGGUAGUUACCAUUAAAAGAUGAGUCACAUGGUAGCUAGAUGUGUCUCACAUUUUAGGGAAAAUAAUGUCUCAAUGGAUUUAAUUUUAAAUGGAUCAUAAAAAUUGAAACAUUUAUUUUAUUUUAUUUAAAAUAAAAAAUGUUUCCAACAUGUCAGGCCGAUGCGCACACACGAGAUCCAUACUGUCACAAAUUCAUUUCCAAACUAGUUAUGAACCAUAACCUAAUUCAUUUCCAAACUAGUUAUGAACUAGAACCUAACUUCACCUGGCCUCCAUUUGCUGUGAUAUGUUGUCUUCAUGGUUAAUGUGUCAUCCCUAUGCUAAACAUUGAAAAAAGAUGUUAGGGGCAACUUACUUUAUCAAAUAUUUGAUUUAUGUACUAUCAUUUUGAUAGACAUUAAAAUUAAUUAUUUCUCAAAAAAAAAAAUUCAAUAGAAAAAAUCUCAAACCAAAGAAAAGUACUUAGCAUUAAACUCGAGAGAGUUGCACCACAUAUAUAUUUGUAGCUUAGGACCACGGGGUUCUCACAUCCAUCAAGUUUUCGUGCUUGAUUUGUGUAUUUGGCCGCCAAACAUACAGAAAUUGUAGCUCAAAAUCUACUGGUUUAAUUAAAGUGGCAGAUUUUAAAUUUUUAUUUAUUUCUUUGUGUAUGGACUUUUAAGGUUCAAAAUCAAGUGGGAAAGAGACAGCCCGCACCCUCAACUUUGCAUUGAGUUGGAUCUACUAAUUAAUUGGUAGCCAAUAAUCUUUUUUUUUCUUUCCUUCUGAUCAUACAUAUCCAUUUAGAAUUGAUAUUCAAGAGGAUGUCAAGACUCAGAUUUGUUUUUCUUUUCAGAUUUUCUUGGCUACCAAUCAUCAUAUCAAGAAUUUUACAUGAAAUAAAAAAUAAAAAAUAUCAAUAAUUUACUUUUUUUUAUCUGUAUUUCUAUCCCUUGAAUUGAAAGUGGAGCUAAGAAGAAAGAAAAUAUCCUAAACAACUAAAGUCCUUGAAAUUAAUCUCAAUUUGAUCUUAAAAAAAUAAAUAAGUGGAAGAAAACCAUAAACCUUAUUUCUGCAAGAUUCAAACCCAUCUAUAAUCCACAUAUUUCACCACUCCUAAUGUCCACACUCUUUAAACCACCUCACUUUUUAUACGAAAUGUUUGUUUAUAAAAGAAAAAACUCUAAAAUAAAAAAUAAAUAAUAAUAAUAAUAAAAAACAUGUUAAAAGGAAGAGAAACAUUUAUGUAGAAGAGUGGUUGUUGAUAUGACAAGUGAAAUGGUCAUUUUAAGGAAUAAUUAUAUGACUAGUGCGUGUAUUUAGAAAAAUUGUGGUCCUUUUCUCUAUAUUUUUUCAAAGUAAGAAUUGAAAACCCACUUUCCCUGUUAUUUAUACUUGUGUUUGUGGGUUGUUUUAAAAAUAAUUAUAAAGGUAAGGAGAAUGAUUGAUUAAAAAUAAAGCAUAAAAAAAAUUAUUUUUAAUAAAUAUUUAGAAACAUAAAAAAACAAGUUAAGAAUAUUCUAAACUCUCAAAUGAAGUUUUGUUCUAACAAUUUUUUAGAACAAGUUUCUAAAACAUUGUCAAAUAUAUCUUUAAUUUUCUAUUGAAAUGCCCAUGUUGCAAUUCAACUUGAUGACAUAAAGUAUAAUAAAUUUAGAAAUAUUUUUAAAGUAUCAUAUUUUAAAAAGAAUUUUUAAGAUAUGCUAUAGUCGUUUAUAUUAUAAUUUAUAUCUCAAAUUACUCAUAUUCAUGAAUGGUUUUUAUAUAGUUAUUUAAAAAGCAGUAUAACUUUAUUUCUUCUAACAAGGUGUAUUGCUAAUAUUGUAAUUAUAUACUUGAACAUAUUACUAUCUAAUAAAAUUUUAAAGGAUAUAACAUAUAAGGACUUGAAAGAAUAUUCUUGAAAAUUUAGCAUGUAUCUAAUUUUCAUGCCUAUCUAACCAAGAAUUUGAAAUGAAAAUGAAAUUCACUUUACAACUUUGAAUCAAAUCAUCCUCAAAUAAGAAAAGUUCCAUCACUAAUCUUUUGUGGAAAAACCUUCAAAUCCUUUCUUCUUUUUCUUCUUUUUAAUAAUUUAUAUGGUCUCUAUCAUUAAUCCUAAAUUCAAUUUGAAAUUCGAUUCUAGAAAUAAAUAGUAUGACUUCUUGUUCUAAACCCAGGUUGAUCCUAUAAAUAGGAGCACAACCAACAAUGGUGGAGGCACGCCAUCUUUCCAUUUCUAUUCGUCUGUUGUUUUUUCAUUCUGAAAGCAGCUAGCACCCUGGAAACCCAAUCAGGUUUGAAGGACGCACUUAAGCCUAUUAGAACUGCGCCCAAAGAAGGUGAUGAAAAGGGAAUGGUAGUUAAGCGUCAUGAUCAGGAAGAUCAUCAGCCAUUGAGUCCAAUGGCUCGUUUGUUUCAUGAACCUGACUGCGAUCUCUAUGUUAUCGGCAUGAUCGGCACGAAAACUCGCAUCGACCCUGAUGUGUUUAAAGCCAACCUGGUGCAUAGUCUCCUUAAACACCCUCGUUUCUCUAGUCUGCAUGUAGAAAUCUUGCAUGCCAGAAGGAAUGAACUUGCCAUUUAGUAAUUUAAAGCUACAUUGAACAUUUUUGAACUAAAAUGCAGCGGUAUUUCAAAAUCAGGUUAUGGAGGAGGAAAAGGGAGGAGAGACGAAAUGGGUUCCAACAAAAGUUGAUUUGGAAAACCACGUUAUAGUUCCAGACAUGUGUUCCGACAUGGAAACAUCAUCAGACAAGUACGUGGAAGACUACAUUUGCAACCUCACUAAAACAACCCUAGACUUUUCCAAGCCAUUAUGGGACCUUCAUCUCCUCAACGUGAAAACCUCCGACGCCGAGGCCGUCGCCGUUUUCAGGAUUCAUCACUCCCUCGGCGAUGGCACGUCUCUCAUGUCUCUUUUACUUGCCUGCACACGCAGAGCCUCAGAUCCCAUGGCUCUGCCUUCUGUUCCCAUGAUGAAGAAAUCAAAAUCAUCGGCUGGGUCUGGAAGGUGGUGGAAGGCUUUCAGACAGUACAGUCCCUGAUCCUCACCAGCUGUUUGAUGACCUUGAAGAGUCUUUCAACCUCAUCAAGAAUGCUGUGAUGGCUAGAGACUAAACUCCACAGAAUGUCAUGUAGCAAGGGCUAGGGUCAAUGUAAUUAAUAUAUAUAAUGUUCUGAAAUAAUUGUCUUAAGGUUCCUGCAAUAAUGAUGUUGUAUUAGAUGGCUCUCUACUAAGUAAAAAUGCCUCUCUACUGUAUUUUUAUCUUAAUUCAAGUUCAUAUUUUUUGGACUUUAUUUCAUUUUUAUUUACUGUAUUUUGAUGACUAAUUAUGGGUUCUUUCUAAUUUCAUCUUUUAAUUUUUUAUUCUCCUUUUUUUUUUUUUUUGAUUCCUCAGAUCUUUUGCAGUAUCUUAAUUUUAAGGCUUAAAUUCUACUUCAUUUCAUUAAUUUCUUCCAUAAUUUUUAAUUUUUAUUAUUAUUAAAUAAUUGUAAUAGCAUUAAUAUGAAGUUCUGGGCUGGCUUACAUAAGAACCCAUCUCCUAGUUUAUAUUGAUCCCUACCAUUUUAUUAAUGGAUAUAACUAUCAAAAUGCUUUCAAAACACAUUUGCCAUUUAAAUUAAAAUAUUAAUUAACUUUCUAUAGAAAUAUCUUCAAUAGAGUGUUAGUGACAAAAUGGUAUAAAAAAAAAAAAAAAAAGAAUGUUUUAACAACAAUCACCUUAAAAUCCUUCAUGUGCUACAAAACAAAUUGAUUGGUUUAAUAUUCAUCAUGAAAUUUCAUGUUAAUUAAGCUUUAGCUGAGAUGAUGGAGAAGGGGUCUAAAGUGAAAGGGGGAAAUUGGAUUGGAUCUAUGCUCCUCCUUUUUGCCAUUGUCUUAUACGAUGACCCUUUAAAUUAUAUUCGUCAAACUAAAGCCACAAUCGAUCGAAAGAAGCGUUACCAUGAAGCUAUAUUUACAUUUUUCAUUAUUAAGAUGGUUCUCAAAUUAUUUGGUGCUAAGGUAUGAAAUUCCUUAUCCAUAAUAUUGAAGAUCACCUAGGAAAUUAUUGAUUUUCAAACUCAUGUUCUUAAAUAAUAAUAAUAAUAAUAAUAAUAAAAUCUAAUAUCUAUUUUUUGUUUCUUUCCUUUCUAUUUUCUUCUUGUGAUCUUACCUAGGAUUUUUUAUUUUUUAUUUUUGCAUGGCAAAUAAGUUGCAGCAUUUUUAUACCAUAGAGUUAUAAAUCACACAACAAUGUGCUUCUCAAAUGUAGUUGGACCUAUGGAAUAAAUCGGUUUUUAUGGCCAUCCAAUGGCUUUCCUUGCUCCAAGCGUUUACGGCUAACCUCAUGUAAGUCUAUAUAUAUAUAGUUAUUUGAUUAAAUGGGUUAUUGAAAACUCAAAUUUGGACAAAUGACCUUCAUGGUUUGAAAGUAUGAACUAUGAUCGAGAAAUUAUAUUUGUAUUCAUCAAAUUUUUCUUUACAUUUAUCAUAUUUACACAUUCACUUUAAAAUACUAACUAUAUUAACACAUCACCUACAAAUUUCCAAUAUCAUAAAAACACUCUUCGCAUUCUUCUCUUCUAUACCUAUCUUCUUUUUUUUCUCUAUUAACUUUUUUCUUCUCAAUAAUAAAUCCUAAAAGAAACUAUCUUUUAGGGCUUAUUCUUCAUGUAAAUUUUGACUAAAAAAAUUUGUUCUAGAAACAAUUAGAAAAAAUUUAUAAAAAAUUAGAAAUGAGAAAUCAUGAAAAAGUGCAAAAGAAAUUAUAUUUGGACUGAUUUUUUACUCUGUGUUUUGUGGUAGGGAUUGAUGAUUGAUUUUCAAAGUUAUAUCAAUAAAAUGAUAUUUGUUCUUUCGGUUGAUGAAGAAAUAAUUCCCGAUCCUCACCAAUUAUGUGAUGAUCUUGAAGAGUCACUCAAGUUUAUGUUGACAUUGCAAGAGGGUUUGUCCAUAAAAAUUCCAUAAAAUAAGAAUGAUUAGUACAUGUUACAUCUGUGUGAACUAUGAAGAUCUGUGUGCUCUUAUGGUCAUUUGCAGUUUUAAUAGUAUGUGUUUUAUAAAUCUAAAGUGAAAUGUUUUAUUUUUGAAUAAAUUUUGAACUUUCUAAUGUUAUAUAUAUGUCACAUGCAUGUAUGCUUUGAAAUUUUUAUAUGAGAAUAAGACAUGUGGGUCAUGCCUUGUUCUGGGAAUGGGCCUAACUUGGGCCAGGCUUGGGCUUGAGCCUAACUGGGUCUUAAGUUGGGUUAAUUAGAACGAUGAAGUCAAAGAAUUGCAAAAUUUUGGGUUCCAUGAUAUCUCAAAAUUUCAAGAUAGUUUUUUCCUGAUUCUUACAAAAUUGGGUACAUAUCUACAUAGGUUGUUAGAGAUACUGUGAGGGAUUUGCACCACCUCAAACAAUAUUCUAACUAAAAAUGUCUCGUUCGGAUACACUUUUUCAUUUUUCUUUUUUAGAAACAAAAAGUUUUAAUAAUUUCUAUAUGAAAAUAGAAGUUCUUAUAUAAAAAAGGUAUAUGUUUACCCUGUGUCCUUAUAAUUUAUUUUAAAUAUUUUAAAAUUUUAGAUGAUAAUUUAAAAAAAAAAAAUAGUUUUUAAUUAGUUUUUAAAAGUCAUUGUUUUUUGGUGUAAGUCUCUAAGAUUUUUUAUAUUUAAAAGAAAUAAUAAAUGAUAAAAAUUAUGGUAUAUAUAUAGAGACAGAGAAGAGAAAAUAUAUUAUGCUUAACAUCCCAUUUAAAAUAAUGAUUUAUAUACUCAAAAACAGUUUAAUAUAAUGAUUUAUUUAGCUAAAUAUAUUUAAGAAUAUAAAAAAAUCAUGAUACAGAUAUGAGUACUUUUUAAUUAUUUAAAAAUUUUAUUUACAAGUUUAUACUUUUCUUAUAUUUAAUAUUAAAAUGUUAAUUUAAUUACAAAAAUGAUUAUGUAGUUUGAUAAAUUUAAAAAAAUAAUAAUAAUUUUUUUAUUAGUUUUAAUAUUUUAGAUUAUAAUAAAUUAAUUUUAUGUGCUUUUAUAAAUAUCAAUCAAGUUUAGCUUGGUGGUGAAGUGGCAUGAUAAAAGUUGUUUUCCUUUAUUUUUCAAAUUAUAAAGAAUAAAAUAAUAUAUACAUAUAUAUAUAUAUAUAUAAAUCACCCAACUUUAAAAUUUGAAAUUUCAUUAAAUCCAACCUUUUUCUUUAAUAAUUUUUUAAAACUUCCAUAUUUACCAUUCAUUUUCUUUCUCUUGCAUUUAUUGCGGACCAAACUUGUCAUAAAAUAAGUCAAAUUCGUUUUUGAUCUCUCUAUCCUCUAGCAAUCUCAAAUGGACCCAAGAUUGAGGUCAUUCUAUCAAGGCUUAAAAAUCAACACAAGGACCGACAAAAUGUGUGGACAUUAACAUCGGAAUCAUAAAUAAUCAACUACCUACCUUUCUUAUAUUAAAUAUUGAAUGUCAUAUUAGAAAAUUCUUAAAAUUGAAAAAAUAAAAGUAAAAAUUCAACAUCAUACCUCAGGCUAUGGCCAUCAAAUUCACAAUUUUUGAGAGUAAAUAAAAAACAGAAUAAAAUUAGGGUUUUAUUUGGCUAGUUCUUCUAAGAUCUUAUAUCUGAUGAAAACUUACAAACUUCUUAUAAACUAGAGACUCUUGUCUAUAUAAAGUUUAAUAUAAAUAUGAUAUUUUCUUAUAUUUUCUUUCCAUCAAAGUAAACAAAAUAAAUACCGAGUAAUAGUUACCACUAAAAGUGUGUCAUGACUAUAAAUGAUGGUUACAACACUAAGAGAUGUGUUUGUAUUUAGUGUCACAUAUUUUAAAGAAAAUAAUGUAUUUAAAUUUAAAUUUAAAUAGAACACAAAACUUAAAACAUUUAUUUAUUUUAUUUAAAAUAAAAAAUGUUUCCAACAUGUCACGCACAUGGGAUCCAUGUUGCCAUAAAUUCAUUUCCAAACUAGUUAUGAACCAUGAAUGACAAGUCCUAACUUCACUUCCACCUCCACUUGCUAUGAUACGUUGUCUUCAUGGUAAACAUGAUGACUUCGACGACUAAACAUUGAAAAAGGAUGUUUGUAGGGACCCCUCCCUCUGGGAAACACGUGUCACGCAUCUCAUAGUGACACGUGUUAUCAGCCGGACCAUCAUCAUCCGGAUUCCCCCUAAGGAUACGCAUGAUGCAGUUCUCCUAUCCGGACCGCCUCGAGGAAAGGCAAAUGACGUUUCAGCUUCUCCUAUCCAAGGAAGAGCAAACGUCGCUGGCAGAGCACAGACAUCCGGACAACCUUCAUAAUGCAUCCGCUCCACAAUACAUCCGGGUAAUCAGCAUGUGCCAUCCAGAUAUAAUCGUCCGGAUCAUCAAUUAAAGUAAAGCGAGUCUUACACGCUAUCACAACAAACGGCCAUGGCCCACAUCCUGCCACCUUCAGAGUGAGAAGACAAGAUGAAAUGACAGCAAGUCACCUCCCGCGAUCUCUGACAGCCGCAUCACCUACCAUGGUUUCUGACAGCCGCUCGUAGGGUGAUGAUGCUCCUACUAACGCCUAUUGUCAUCAUAAACAACAUAAAAUAUCUCCUCACCAUUAAUGAGAGGAACAGUACCCCUGAAGCUGUAUAUAUAUGCCUUCACACGAAGAAGGAAGGGAUCCCACUGGUAACCUCCUAAUACCUGGUAAAAGGCCAACUGAUUUAUAUCUCUCUCUCUGACCAUGGCUAACAAAACCAUCGGAGGGUGCGUCCGGACACCUUGUCCGGAUGCCUUCUUGCAGGUAUAACGACUGGAUCAAGAACCUUUAUGGGUUGAAAUCACGUGUCCAUCCAUUUGGCAACUACGUGGAUCGUCAGAGACGCGAGGUAUCAACAUUGGCACCGUCUGUGGGAACUUUUUACUUUGAUUCAGUCACUAAAAAAGAUGGUCACACCGUCCCGAAGCCAUUCAUCUGGUAGGGGAGGGGAUGAUAAUUUUGAAUGGCGCCUAGCCAUCGAAAGGAGACAGUUGGCAAGCGAAAGACAGCUGAAAGCUCUCCUCCAGGAGACAGAAAGAUUGAGAGAAGAAAACGCUGUGUUACGCAUCCAGGCUUCAACAUCAGGACCUCCUCGACGUCAGCGUUCGAGGGGCCAAGUAGCAGACUCAAGUCCUCAACAAGAACCAGAAUCAAUACAUCCUGGGACAACAGGAGCUAUCCCAGGAGCAUGCAACGUAAGACCUCAUGAGCCACGCACGCCUAUGCCUCGAGCUCCCCGUGAGGAAAGCUCAGACUCUACUCACUUUUCAGCGAAAAGACAACGUGAUAAAAAAUCUCAGUUGUCGAACUCAAUGCGCGCAAGACUAGGCCCACAAGAGCCUGGAAGAUCAAGGCCACCAAUGGCCAUAACCUGGGCACCACGCCCUGACCCUGUGACCACUCCCAUGGUGCAAAACGUUCACCCGCAUCGUGACCCCUUAGUCACCCCCGUGAUGCGGAAUGUUCAUUCGCACCCAGCGGAACAACCAACUGGGAGAAACAUCCCAAAUGGGCCACCCAUUGGCUCUAUUAGCAAAAGGUUGGAUGACAUGCUCUCCACGCCUUUCUGCUCUCAUAUCAUUAAUUACGAGCCCCCAAGGGGAUUCCUCGUACCAAAUUUUUCCACAUACGAUGGAACCAACGAUCCCUUUGAUCACAUCAUGCAUUAUCGACAGCUUAUGACGCUCGAUAUUGGCAACGAUGCACUGCUAUGCAAAGUAUUUCCCGCCAGCUUACAAGGACAGGCCCUCUCAUGGUUUCAUCGCCUACCUCCCAACUCCGUUGGCGAUUUCAGGGACCUGUCCGAAGCUUUCGUGGGGCAAUACUUGUGCUCCGCACGACACAAGCAAAAUAUCAGCACCCUGCAGAAUAUAAAAAUGCAAGAUAACGAAUCCUUGAGGGAAUUCAUGAAGCGAUUUGGCCCGGCCGUGCUUCAAGUAGAGGCUUGUAGUAUGGAUGCUGUCCUACAGAUUUUCAAGCGAAGCAUCUGUCCGGGCACUCCAUUUUUCGAAUCACUGGCCAAAAAACCCCCUACAACGAUGGAUGACUUAUUCAGGCGCGCCAACAAAUAUUCAAUGCUCGAAGAUGACGUACGCGCAGCCACCCAGCAAGUUUUGGUUGCCGGACGGCCAUCUAGAAAUAAUACGGAGGGAAAUAAUAAACCUCCGGAUCGGCCAAAGCCGUCUGACCGAAAGCAGGAAGGGUCAAGUCGCCCGGAAAUGCCGCCUCUCACACCUCUUUCCAUAUCAUAUGAGAAACUUCUCCCAAAGAUCCAGGGCUUGUCCGACUUCAGAUGGCCUAGACCCAUUGCAACGGACCCAUCCACAAGAGAUCGCAGUAAGAGAUGUGCCUUCCACAAGGAUCAUGGCCAUACAACAGAGACAUGUCGAUCUUUCCAGUUUCUGGUCGAAAGGCUCAUAAAAGCAGGGCAUUUGAAGCAAUACCUCCGAUCAGAUAAUGGAGGAAGGGACGCAUCCCAACAUCACAACCCCGGAGCCCCUAGGGCCCCAGCUGCCCCCAAGGCCGUUAUAAAUUAUAUUAACGGGGGUCCAUCUGACGAGGAGUACGAUUCUAGGCGAAAGAGGCAAAAAUUGUUGUGGGCCGCAUCAAUACGCGAGCGCAUCAAUUCCAUCCGGCCUGGGCUAACGGGAGGGGGCCCUCGCCCCAUAGAUGGGACAAUCAUUUUCCCACCGGUAGAUCCCACCCGGACACUGCAACCACAUCGCGACGCCCUCAUCUUGUCCCUGGAAAUUGGGGACUUCGAUGUGCGGCGUAUCUUGGUUGACCCAGGCAGUUCAGCCGAUCUUGUGCAAGCAUCAGUCGUUGGCCACAUGGGACACAGCCUCACAGGCCUCGAAAACCCUGGACGAAUCCUAUCCGGAUUCAACGGGUCUUCAACUACGUCCUUAGGAGACAUUGUACUGGCGGUCCAAGCAGGCCCAGUCACUCUCAACGUACAGUUUUCAGUAGUACAGGAGUUAUCACCCUUCAAUGUCAUUUUGGGGCGCACAUGGCUCCACUACAUGAAAGCUAUCCCCUCUACAUAUCAUCAAAUGGUGAGUUUUCUCACCAACCAUGGCCAAAUCGACCUAUAUGGCAGCCAAUUAGCCGCUCGCCAAUGCUAUCAGAUAGCGCGGGAAGCAGGGGUCAACCAGGAGGAUGCGUCUCCCCCUGAACCCAGCAUUGCACAUGACCAAUAGCAAUUAUUGGAUCCGGCGGACAAAGAUCCCCCGGCAGCAGAUCCCUUACAAACAAUCCAAAUUUCGGAGGAAAACACUCACCUCACGAACAUCAGUUCCCUCAUGACACAAGAGGAAACUCAGAGCAUGCAAAGUAUUCUCAGACGAAACCAUGACAUCUUCGCAUGGACACAUUCUGAUAUGAAGGGAAUCCAUCCCUCUAUUGCAUCUCACAGGCUUAACGUCUUUUCAACUGCCAGACCCGUCCGGCAGAAAAUUAGGCGUUUUCACCCAGAUAGACAAAAAGUCAUCCGGGAUGAGAUGGACAAAUUGCUCGAAGCCGGAUUCAUCAGAGAAGUUUCUUAUCCGGAGUGGUUGGAAAAUGUAGUGGUGGUACCCAAAAAAGAAGGAAAGUGGCGAGUUUGUGUAGACUAUACCAAUCUCAACAAUGCAUGUCCAAAAGACAGUUUUCCUUUGCCUCGAAUAGAUCAGAUUGUGGAUUCCACUUCCGAGCAAUGGAUGCUCUCUUUCUUGGAUGCCUUCUCCGGAUAUCAUCAAAUCCCCAUGUCCCCGGACGACGAAGAAAAAACAGCAUUCAUAACACCACACGGCCUCUAUUGCUACAAAGUCAUGCCGUUCGGACUCAAAAAUGCUGGUGCCACUUAUCAAAGAUUGAUGACUAAGAUCUUCGAACCUCUAAUAGGCCACACGGUAGAGAUAUAUAUUGAUGAUAUCGUGGUUAAAAGCAAAACCCGAAAGCAGCAUGUCCUUCACUUACAAGAAGUUUUUCACCUCUUACGAAAGUAUGGCAUGAAGCUAAAUCCUUCUAAAUGCACCUUUGGCGUAAGUGCUGGCAAAUUUCUGGGAUUUAUGGUCAGCCAAAGGGGCAUAGAAGUCAGCCCAGAUCAAGUCAAAGCAGUCAUGGAAACACCCCCUCCCAGGAACAAGAAGGAGCUACAACGCCUCACAGGCAAGCUCGUCGCACUAGGGCGUUUUAUAGCCCGCUUCACUGACGAACUGCGACCCUUCUUCUUGGCAAUACGAAAAGCUGGAGCACAUGGAUGGACGGACAGUUGCCAGAACGCUUUCGAAAAGAUUAAGUAUUGUCUUACGCAACCGCCCAUCUUGAGCAGCCCCGUUCCAAAUGAGAAAUUGUAUAUGUAUCUGGCGGUAUCAGAAUGGGCAAUCAGCGCCGUUCUAUUUCGCUGCCCCUCACCCAAGGAGCAGAAGCCUAUCUACUACGUCAGCAGGGCGUUAGUAGACGUAGAAAUCAGAUAUUCAAAAAUGGAGCUAACAGCCUUAGCCCUUCGAAGCGCUGCCCAGAAGCUCCGCCCGUAUUUCCAAGCUCAUCCAGUGAUCGUACUAACUGACCAGCCCCUUCGCAACAUUCUGCACAAGCCAGAUUUAACCGGGAGAAUGCUGCAAUGGGCCAUUGAACUAAGCGAAUUUGGAAUCGAAUUCCAACCCAGAUUGGCCAUGAAAGGCCAAGUAAUGGCUGACUUCGUGCUAGAAUAUUCCUGAAGGCUCAGCCAACAUGACGAAUCAAGUAAAAAAGAAUGGUGGACUCUGCGAGUUGACGGAGCCUCACGCUCAUCAGGCUCUGGAGUUGGGCUCUUACUACAGUCCCCAACUGGGGAACAUUUGGAGCAAGUCAUCCGGCUGGGAUUCCCUGCCUCUAAUAAUGAAGCAGAAUAUGAGGCUAUCCUGUCCGGAUUGGACCUCGCCCUUGCUCUAUCCAUCUCCAAACUCCGGAUCUUCAGCGACUCACAACUCGUGGUAAAACAUGUCCAGGAGGAAUAUGAGGCUAAGGACGCACGCAUGGCGCGAUACUUAGCUAAAGUAAGAAACACCUUGCAGCAAUUCACCGAAUGGACAAUCGAAAAAAUCAAGCGAGCUGACAAUAGGCGCGCUGACGCUUUGGCCGGUAUAGCUGCCUCCCUCCCUAUCAAAGAAGCCAUUCUAUUGCCCAUACAUGUGCAACCCAACCCCUCUGUUGCAGAAAUUUCUACUUGCAACACCAUUGAGGCAAAUCAAGCGGAUGAUCAAGAAUGGACGUAUCACAUCGCAGAAUAUCUCCGGACAGGCACUCUGCCCGGAGAUCCCAAACAAGCACACAAAAUCCGGGUACAAGCUGCCCGUUUCACCCUGAUUGGGGGGCACCUGUACAAGCGAUCCUUCAUAGGACCUUACCUUCGGUGCCUAGGGCAUUCAGAGGCCCAGUAUGUGGUAGCUGAGUUACAUGAGGGAAUAUGCGGAAAUCAUUCGGGAGGACGAUCUCUGGCACAUAGAGCUCAUUCGCAAGGAUACUAUUGGCCAACAAUGAAGAAAGACGCGGCAGCAUAUGUUAAAAAAUGUGAUAAAUGUCAACGGUAUGCUCUCAUUCCACAUACGCCAUCAGCAACAUUGAAAACAGUCUCAGGCCCAUGGCCCUUUGCGCAGUGGGGCAUGGACAUAGUGGGACCCCUCCCAGCAGCACCUGCCCAGAAGAAAUUUCUCCUUGUUGCCACUGAUUACUUUAGUAAAUGGGUAGAAGCUGAAGCAUAUGCAGGCAUCAAAGACAAAGAUGUCACCAAGUUCGUGUGGAAGAACAUUGUUUGCCGUUUUGGAAUCCCCCAAACCAUCAUAGCUGACAAUGGUCCACAAUUUGACAGUAUUGCAUUCAAGAAUUUCUGUUCGGAGCUGAACAUCCGGAAUUCAUACUCCACACCACGAUAUCCUCAAAGUAAUGGGCAAGUAGAAGCCACAAACAAGACCCUAAUCAAUGCCCUAAAGAAAAGGCUUGAGCAAGCUAAAGGGAAGUGGGUGGAGGAGCUACCCGGCGUCCUAUGGGCCUAUCGAACCACACCCGGACGACCAACAGGAAACACUCCUUUCGCCCUCACGUAUGGAAUGGAUGCAGUCAUUCCUACAGAAAUAGGUCUUCCUACUAUCCGGACUGACGCAGCAAAGCAAGAUGAUGCAAGCGCGGAAUUAGGGAGAAAUUUAGAUUGGGCAGAUGAAGUGAGGGAAAACGCGGCCAUUCGGAUGGCAGAUUAUCAACAAAGGGCAUCAGCACAUUACAAUCGCAAAGUGAGGCCAAGAAGCUUCAAAAAUGGUACACUAGUCCUUAGAAAAGUUUUUGAAAAUACUACUGAAGUGGGUGCAGGGAAAUUCCAAGCCAACUGGGAAGGACCCUAUAUAGUGUCUAAGGCAAAUGACAAUGGAGCCUGUCAUUUACAAAAAUUGGACGGAACUCCAUUACUUAGACCUUGGAAUGUGUCUAAUUUAAAGCAGUACUAUCAAUGAAAAAGCAGAGACAAGUGCAAAUGAAAAAGAACUAUUUUUAUUGAUAUGGAUAAAUGUAUGAACAAAGAGGUCUCCGGACCACAAAAAUACAAAAGGAAGAUUACAGCAGAAAAUUGCAAAAAGAGAUAAACUAUCAUGGAGCAGGCUUCUCAUAGAGCUUCUUUUCUUCACCCGGAGGAAUUGAAGGGACGUCCCGCUUGAUGUCGUUCUUCUUCAUGCAGCACCGAUACCCAAAGAUGAAUGUAUCAUCCACUUGUUUUUGGUAUUCUGCUUCAAGUUCCUCCCUCUCUACAGCAAACUCCCGUUCUAGCUCCUCUUUUUGUGCAACCAAGCGCAGCUGCAAAUCUUCCCUCUGUUUCUUUUCGAUAGAAACCUCUGUCCGGAGGUGCCUCACCUCCCCCUUCAGUCGGGCUAUCUCAUCCUCUGCCUCAUGCAAACGGGCAAUCAAUGAUUCCUCCCGGUCCUUAGCCUCAGCUAAUUCCACCCGAAGGACUUCAUUGUCCUCUCGAGCAGUGGAUAAGCUGGUUUCAGCCUCCGCCAGUCUCAGGCGCAACUGAUCUUCAACAUCUUUGCGCCGAGAGGCGAAGAUCUUCAUAUAAUCAGUGGUCCGCAGCAGGUCAGAAAAGAGAUCGUGUUGUUUGGCCAUGCCGCGGAGACCACUCACCAGCUGACACGUAAGCAAAGCAAAGUUAUAAAUCAUACCACAACAACACAUCAAAAUAGCAAAAGAAUCAAAAAAGCACGAAAAACAGUUUACCGUUUCCACCGUCUCGAACAUCUGGGCUGAGGGCAUGAUGUCAGGCGAGCCGGGUGGAAUUUGUUUCAGCUUAUCUUCCAACUCCGCAUAGCUAAAAGAGCUAUCGGAGGAGCAAGAUGCGUCAUUAACAGGUCCCCCCCCGGAUGAAGCAGCAGAAGGUGAUUUUUGUUCCGGAUAAGGGGCCUCAACAUUUACGGCCGGAUGGACCUCCCCGGGUGCAACCUCAGCCGGGACCACCAUCCAGACGACUGGAGUCUCAAUUACCAUCUCCACUUCGCCCCCCUCCAGAUGAGCGUCGUGGACAGAUGAGCAACUAACUUCAAUCUCUUGCUGCCGCUCUUGAAGCCGCCCGUGGAGUCCGGACCUCAGAUUGCGCACCGAGCGAGGCCUCUUUGAGGGUGGCCCCGUCACCAGAACAAGAGCCAGGCGGUCCGGAUCGUCAGAGGGCUGACUCUGACUUUCCGCCCCAGCUUCCUCCAUCGGGUCCGCGCAAACGGCUUCAACUGCAUCAACACCCGAAGUAGGGGAGUCCGGAUGGUUGAUGGACGCAGCUUCCUCAGCCAAAUUUGCCGGACGGGCAACCGCUGCCAAAGAGGUGCUUGAGUGAUUCAGCCCCGCGAUGUGUCCGGACCCGCUUGAGAUAGAAUGAGGAGCGGGGUUCACUGGCUCCUCUAUCAUUACCUCCGCCUCGUGAGUAAUGAGCGGAUGAGCAAAUUCCAUGGGAGGAGUGGGCUCCCUCACUCCCUUCCCAUUCUUCACCAGCUUCCUCCUUUUUGCUGGAGUUUUCUUUGGAGGAGAGUCUGCGUCGCGUUUCUGUCCGGGAGCCUUGCGAAGGGUUCCUUCGUUUUUCUUCUUCUCCCGAUUGACCAGAAGCGCUCGGCGUUUUUCAACGUCAGCCUCUUUUGACGCCUGGUAAAUCGGGAGAUCCUUCACAAUAUAAUGCUCCCCAGGCACUACCUCCUUUGGCAUCUUCCUGGGGAGAAUGUUGAUGACGUACUCUUGGGACUCCCGGACGACCGCCAUUAGGUUCCGCGCAAUCAGCAACGUCUUGCACUGCCUCUCCUUGGCGUCUAUCUCAAAAAGCUUGCUGAGACAGCCAAAAGACGCCUUUUCCACCCAAUCCACGAGGUGGCCCCUUUUUUCCGCACCUGCAUUAACAGCAACAGAGGUUGAGAAUACCAUCCGGAGAGAUCAACAAGAAAACAACAAGGUAAAAAUCAGGACAGAAGUCGCAAAGCAAACUUACCCGGAAUCUUGAAGGAAUAGUUUGGAGAAAAGGGCCUCGCCGGAUGCCUCGACCCCGCCCACGUACCCCGGACCAUCACCCGUCCCUUUGCCCCUCCCUUCGUCGAGUCGGGCAGUUCCGUCACCAAUUGAAGGGAAGGCAGGUGCGCGGACAGGCUGAAGAUGUCAGCUUUCGCCUUCUUCAGUGAGUAGACGAAGAACACCUCCAGCAUUGUAAGGUCGAGGUUGUACAGCAUGUUGAUGAUGCUGCAUCCCAUCAGCACCCGGAUAAUAUUGGGAUGAAUGAAGACGGGUGGAAUCUUAGUGAAAUGGAGAAACUCCAUGAGCAACGCUAGCAGGGGGAACCGGAGCCCUGCAUUGAAUUGUUCCUUGCAGAAGACGAUAGCACCUUGUUCGGCUUUCUCAGUAGGCACCACGUCCUCCCCAUGAAGAAAUUCAACAAUUACGCCAUUUGGAAUGCAGAAUCGAUCUCGAAACUCCUUCAUGCUCAACUUGUCUAUGGACUUUUCAUAAGCGUCGCCAACUCGCGCAGAUGAAGCACCUUUCUUCUUUGAAGACAUUUUUCAGGCCAAAAUUGAACCAAAACCUACAUACGAGAAAUGCAACAGUCAAACACAGCCAAAACAACCCCACAAACCCUACACAAUAACAACACUCAGAAAACCUCGCACCACCAGUAUACCCAUUCCAAAAUCCUUGACUUUACCCCAACAAAAAACCCCCCAGAGCACCAACAAAUGCCAACAUUCAAACAAACAGUCGUAAGCAACUUACCCAAACAAAACCCAAACAAAUCAGAAACCAAGAUCAAAGAACCAACAAACGCAACAAAAGGAACAACAAUAGCAAAAGUCUACGUACCAAAUGAAGCCCUGAAGGAGAAAGGUUGUUGUCUCGAUACAAAAUUACCAGCAGCAAACGAAUGUCGCGACACAAAAUCACCGGUACAAAAGAGCUUUCGAGUUUCUUUACUCAGAGAAGCAAAGGACACAAUAGAAGUAGGAAGAAGAAAGGCUCUCAAGGGAAUACAGUAGAAAAAAUGCAAAAAGAAGGUACAGUGCGCUAUUUAUAGGAGGACAGGCCCUCGGAAAGCCAAACGUCCAAACAAAUGCCAUCAUUGAAAUGACAUAUUGCCUGGGGAUACACAGGGUCGGCGGCUCAUCAUAAAAGCCUUUUUUGGCUUCCGCACCCCCACUCGCCACGUGGCCCAGUCAAACGAAGAGACCUCUUCAGUUUUCAAAAAGGCCAGUUAUUUUUUAACCCGCCCAUUUUUUGGCAAAAUAGGCAAGUUAAAAAGGGGGGCAAUGUAGGGACCCCUCCCUCUGGGAAACACGUGGCACGCAUCUCACAGUGACACGUGUUAUCAGCCGGACCAUCAUCAUCCGGAUUCCCCCUAAGGAUACGCAUGAUGCAGUUCUCCUAUCCGGACCGCCUCGAGGAAAGGCAAAUGACGUUUCAGCUUCUCCUAUCCAAGGAAGAGCAAACGUCGCUGGCAGAGCACAGACAUCCGGACAACCUUCAUAAUGCAUCCGCUCCACAAUACAUUCGGGUAAUCAGCAUGUGCCAUCCGGAUAUAAUCGUCCGGAUCAUCAAUUAAAGUAAAGCGAGUCUUACACGCUAUCACAACAAACGGCCAUGGCCCACAUCCUGCCACCUUCAGAGUGAGAAGACAAGAUGAAAUGACAGCAAGUCACCUCCCGCGAUCUCUGACAGCCGCAUCACCUACCAUGGUUUCUGACAGCCGCUCGUAGGGUGAUGAUGCUCCUACUAACGCCUAUUGUCAUCAUAAACAACAUAAAAUAUCUCCUCACCAUUAAUGAGAGGAACAGUACCCCUGAAGCUGUAUAUAUAUGCCUUCACACGAAGAAGGAAGGGAUCCCCCUGGUAACCUCCUAAUACCUGGUAAAAGGUCAACUGAUUUAUAUCUCUCUCUCUGACCAUGGCUAACAAAACCAUCGGAGGGUGCGUCCGGACACCCUGUCCGGAUGCCUUCUUGCAGGUAUAACGACUGGAUCAAGAACCUUUAUGGGUUGAAAUCACGUAUCCAUCCAUCUGGCAACUACGUGGAUCGUCAGAGACGCGAGGUAUCAACAAUGUUCACGUUGUGUCUUAAGGGCAUCUUGCUUUAUCAAAUAUUUAAUUUAUGUACUAUCAUUUUGAUAGACAUUAAAAUUAAUUAUUUCAAAAAAAAAAAAUCGGUAGAAAAUUUCCCAAACCAUAAUGCUCGAGAGAGUUACACCACAUAUUUGUAGCUUAGGACCACGGGGUCUCACAAGUCAUAUCCAUAAAGUUUUUGUACUUGAUUUGUCUAUUUGGCCACCAAACAUACAGAAAUUGUAGCUCAUAUUUACUAGUUUAAUUAAAGUGGCAUUUAUUUUUUAUUUUUGUCAUGGACUAUGUACUAGGAAUCGAUGCUGGAUUCCUACUGCAUCAUUUCUUAAGUAUGAUACUUGGGUCAUGGACAACAACUUUGUUUUAGAGUUCUAAUGAGUUAGAAGCCCAUUUAACAAGUCGGAUUAAUUUCCCAUACGAUUUAUAAGUAAUCUAUUACUUGAAAAUUAUCGACUUAUUUUGUUCUUGAGUAAUUACUCAAGGGUGCAUUAAGUGGUAGAUUUAACAUUACGCUUAGAGAGAAAAUAUGUUGAUGGCUUCUAUAUAGGAUGAGAACAAAACAAGUUUGGGAUGAGUCAUCCCAUCUCAACUUGGUUUUAAUCAUUUAAAUUUAUUCUUGUCCUCCUCCCUAAAAAUAAAUUUAAUAAAGCACCUUAAGGCCAUUUACCCUUUUUCAAUUUUGUAAUUUUAAUUACAUUAAAAUAAAUAUAAUUCAUAACUAAAUAGUAUAAUUUUUACAAUUUAUAUGAAUUUUUUGUUUUAAUUAUGAUAAAAAGAGGGAAAAUAAAAAAAAAUAUUAAUAGUUUUUAUUUAGUUAUAUAUAUAUAUAUAUAUAUAUAUAAACUAGGUGUAACGAGACAAUACAAUAUCUAAACCCAUACAAAAGCCCCUACCCAAUGACAUUUAUCUUUAUCUCAAAUCGAUUCUAUUAAGAGUGGAUACCUGAAAUAAAACCCGCUUCAUUGACAUCCAUAACACAAAUAUAUAUAUAUAUAAACAAAGUGGAGCGAGGUGAAACAAUGCAAUAUCAUCCGAACCCACACCAAAUGGAGUUUUAAAGAAAAAUCUCAAAACUUCUACCUAAGGCAUUUAUCUUUAUCUCGAAUUGAUCUUAUUAGGGAUGGAUGCCUGAAAUAAAACAUGUCUCAUUGACAUCAAUAUUUCCACUAUAAUGUAUCUCUUUGGAUGUUUUAAAAUAAAAUAAAAGACAAAAAAUUGGAAAAGUAAAUUAAGAGAAAAAUUAAAAUAAAUAUCAAAAAAAUAAACUAGUAAAAAAAUAAAAAAUAAACCGAAAAAGAAGUUGGAAAAAAAUUUUAAAACAAAAGAUAAAACUCUUUGCAACUCCUUAAUGCAAUUUUAUGUUUUAUGUAUAUAGACCAAUUUGUUUUAUAAUUUUAUACUAACUUGAAAGGGACUACUCUAAAAGGAAGGACACUCGAUUAAAGUCAAUACAUCCCACCGAGACAGAAAUCAAAAUGGAGUCGCAUUCACUCAAUCAAAGACAAUUUAAUUCGAUCCAUUUAACCAUGGUCGUGAGAAAGUCAUAGAUAUACUCCUAAAAAAUAAGUGGAUACUAACUCCUCAUGUCCACAUCUAUCUAGUUGUAAUUAAGUUAAGGUAACUCAUUGAAAAAAUAAAUAAACUUAGGAGUGUUUGAUAUAGGGGGAAUAAGGAAUGAAAAUGAAUAUUUUAUUUCUAUUUCUAUUUUUUGGUAAAUGAAAAUAAAUUUAGUGAUUGCAUUUUUAGAGUUUGUAUGAAUUUAGGAAUUCAAUAUUUAAAUUAUUAUUUGUUUCCAUUCUAAUGAAAAUUAAAAAAAAAAAUUAACAAUAAUACCCUUAUAUAGUUUAAAAUAAAAUAAAAAAUUCAUUUUUUUAAAAUAAAUUUUGAGAGUUCUUUUUUCUUAAUAAUAAAACUAAAAAAAAAAAGUCUUAUUAUGGGAUAAAGAAAUAUCAUAACUUGAUGAAUGAAAUGGAAGGAUAAAAUAGUAAUAUUACUUUUUAUCUAUGUACUUUCUCUCCCUUUAGAUUGAAAAUAAAACCAAAAACAAAGAAAAUGUCUCAAACAACUAAAGUCCUUAAAAUUAACCUUAUCUUAAUCUACAAAAAAAAUUCCUAGAAGUCCUAAUAUGAUGAACCAAAAUUAUAAACCUUAUUUCCUGUCAAAUCCAAACUCAUCUAUAAUCCAUGAACUUCACCAUUUCUAAAGCCUACACUCUUUAAACCACCUCACUUUUUCGAGGUUUGUUUAUAGGCAAAAAAAAUAAAAAAAUGUCUCAACUUUUCCUACAAGAUGUUUGUCUUUGGAGGAAAAAAAACUCUCAAAUAAUAAUAAUAAUAAUAAUAAUAAUAAUAAAGGUGUUAAAAGGAAAAGAAACAUUUACCUAGGGGAAUCAUAUCAAUUGGUGUUAUUAACAUAACAAGUGAAAUGAUCAUUUUGGGAAUAAUUAUAUGACUCACAAAACAAUACAUAUAUUUAAAAAAUUUGUUGUUCUUUUCUCCAUAUUUUUUCAAAUUAGUAAUUAAAGACCCAUUUUUCCCAUUAUUUAUUCUUGUCUUUGUGGAUUGUUUUAAAAAUAAUUAUAAAAAUAAGGAGAAUGAUUGAUUAAAAAUAAAGCAUUAGAAAUAAAAUUUAUUUUUAAUAAAUAUUUGGAAACAUAAAAAACAAGUUGAGAAUAUUCUAAACUCCCAAACAUAUUUUUGUUCUAGAAAAAAAAAAUCAUAAAACUAUUUUAAAAAUUGUCCCUAUAAACCAGUUUUUUAGAACAAGUUUCUAAAACAUUACUAAAUAUAUCCUUAAUUUUCCUAUUGAAAUGCCCACGUCCCAACUCAACUCUGUGACAUAAAGUAUAAUAAAUUUAGAAAUAUAUUUUAAAGUAUUAUAUUUUAAGAAGCAUUUUUAAGAUUUGCUAUAUUUGUUUGUACUAUAAUUUAUAUCUCAAAUUACUCACAUAUUCUUGAAUGGUUUCCAUAUAUUUAUUUAGAAAGCAUUAUAACUUUAGUUCUUUUAACAAUGUGUAUUGCUAAUAUUGUAAUCAUAUACUUGAAGAUAUUAUUAUCUAAUAAAAUUUUAAAGGAUAUAAUAUAUAUAAGGACUUGAAAGAAUAUUCUUGAGAAGUUUGCAUGUAUCUAAUUUGAAAUGAAAAUGAAACUCACUUUACAAUUGAUGACUCAUCCUCAAAUGAGAAAAGUUAAUUCCGGGAAUUGAUGACUCAUUACCCAUUCCCUUCAUUUCAUUAUAUUAAUCAACAAACCCUACGUAAACCAAUUCAUGCCCUUAUGUGGUUUUGGGCAUUUUUUAUAAUUAAAACGUGGCAUGAAAGUUUGGUAUGGUGGUUGGGGGUUAUCAUAAAUUUGAAAGGGAUGCCCAGGUUCCGUCCAAAACUUAGACGACUUGUUCAAUGACCGUCCACAUAUAACUCAAAAAUUCCAUCACUAAUCUUUUGUGGCAAAACCCUCAAAUCCUUUCUUUUUUUUAAUAAAUUUAUAUGGCCUCCAUCAUUAAUCCAAAAUUCAAUUUGAAAUUUGAUUCUAGAAAAAAGUAAUAUGACUUCUCGUCCUUAAUCCUAAAUUCAAUGUGAAAUUCGAUUCUGGAAAAAGGCAAUAUGACUUCUAGUCCUAAACUCAGGUUGAUCCUAUAAAUAGGAGCACAGCCAACGAUGGUGGAGGCACGCCAUCUUUCGAUUUCUCUUCUUCUGUUGUUUUUCAUUUUGAAAUCAGCUAGCACCAUGGAAACCCUAGAAGGUUUGAAGCACGCACUUAAGCCUAUUAGAAUUGUGCCUAAAGAAGGUGAUGAAAAGGGAAUGGUGGUUAAGCGUCAUGAUCAGGAAGAUCAUCAGCCAUUGAGUCCAAUGGCUCGUUUGUUUCAUGAACCUGACUGCAAUCUCUAUGUUAUCGCCAUGAUAGGCUCGAAAACUCGCAUCGACCCUGACGUGGUUAAAGCCAACCUGGUGCAUAGUCUCCUUAAACACCCUCGUUUCUUUAGUCUGCAGGUAAGGAAUGAACUUUCCAUUUAGUAAUUUAAAGCUACAUUGAACAUUUUUGAACUAAAAUGCAGCGGUAUUAUUCCAAAAGGCAUUGUGAAAUUUUUCAGUAUUAUUAAUCUAUUUCCAUUGUUUGCUAACCAUUAAAUCAUCUUCAAAAUCAGGUUAUGGAGGAGGAAAAGGGAGGAGAGAUGAAAUGGGUUCCGACAAAAGUUGAUUUGGAAAAGCACGUUAUAGUUCCAGACAUGUGUUCCGACAUGGAAACAUCAUCAGAUAAGUACGUGGAAGACUACAUUUGCAACCUCACUAAAACAACCCUAGACUUUUCCAAGCCAUUAUGGGACCUUCAUCUCCUCAACGUCAAAACCUCCGACGCCGAGGCCGUCGCCGUUUUCAGGAUUCACCACUCCCUCGGCGAUGGCACGUCUCUCAUGUCUCUUUUACUUGCAUGCACACGCAAAGCCUCGGAUCCCACGGCUCUGCCUUCGGUUCCCAUGAUGAAGAAACCAAAAUCAUCGGCUGGGUCUGGAAAGUGGUGGAAGGCUUUCAGACUGGUUUGGAAUACGAUCAUCGAUGUUUUGAUGGUGAUCGCCACAGUGUUGUUCUUGAAGGACAGAGACACGCCUCUUAGGGGUCCGCCCAAUGUUGGAUCCACAGGACGGAGAAUUAUUCACAGGACGAUUAGUCUGGAGGAUGUUGUGAUGAUAAAAAAUGCAAUGAGCACUGUAAGUCAACUUGUUGCAUGCAUGGAAAACAAAUACAUGUUUUGCAACUGUUUUAAAAAAAAAAAACAAUUUUCUGUUUUUCAAAUAAAAUAAAUAGAAAAACAGUUUAGAUAAUAAUAAAAAAAAUAGAAAAUGAGGUAUUUUCAAGAAACAACUUUUAAUUAUUUUUAUUUUCAUUUGUUUUUGUGAUAAUUGUUUUCAAAAAUAAUUAUAUAAAUAUAAAUAAUGAUUAAAAAUUAAAAGCACAAGUUAUUUUCAAAAAUAUAUUUUAAAAUAUAGAAAUUAAGAAUAUUCUAGAUUCAUUCCCGAAUAAAAAUUAUUUUCCAUAAAUGUUUAUGAAAAACACUUAUCAAACAAAGCUAUGAUUUUUUCUUUUUUGGACUAUGCCCCAUAAUUUUUUUAUUUUUUAAAGCAAAGAAAUACAAAGCUUUUUUACUUUACGAUCACUUCAAUGAAAGAGUGGGUAAUCAUAUAUUUGAAGAAGUUUAUAACUCCUCUCUCAAUCAUUAGUGGAGAGAUUAAGAACUAAAAUUUUUCUAGCUCUCAUGUGCAGACUGUUAAUGAUGUUAUGGUGGGAAUCACACAGGCUGGUUUGUCUCGGUACCUCAAUAGGCGAUAUGGUGAGCUCCUAUUUUAAUUUUCAAAAUUCAUAUAUUAAGUGGUGAAGAGUAAUUAUAAUACACCACCUAGCUACUCUCUCUAUGUAUAAAAGGAUGUUAUAAAGCUUGUAUGCUCACAUGGUAGCUGAAGGCAAGAAGAAUAAAGGGGCAACGUACAGAAAAGAAAAAUAAUCUUCCCAAGAACCUUUCUAUCAGAGCAACUCACUUCAUUAACAUAAGACCAUCUGCAGGGAUCCAUGUGGGUGUUUCUACUUUCUUUAUCAACCCCUCGUGAAGGAAUUAGUUAAUUUCUCUUUGGGAAGUGUUUUCAAAAAAUGAAACACAGUUUUUGAAAACGGUUAUUUGAUAUUUUAUAAAAUAAAAGUUUGUUUAAAAAUCUGAAAUUAAUGUUAUUUACGUUUUCUAUAUUUUUAAAUAUGUUUUAUUAUUAAUCGAUCUCCAUAUUUUUAUAAUUAUUUAUUAAAUAGUUCUUAAAAAAUAUUUUUUGAAAACACUUCAUUUUUAAAUAAUUGUUUUAUUUAAAUUUGUUUUCAAAAUUUAAAAAUUAUUUUAAAAUCAAUUAUCAAACAAGUCUUUAAUUUCUUGUCUCAUGCAUGUAUACAUUCAUAUCGUACAGACCUUAGCUGAAAUGAUGGAGAAAGGCUCUGAAGCGAAAUGGGGCAACUGGAUUGGCUGUCCUUCUUCCUUUAUCCAUUGCAUUACGUGACAAUCCUUUAGAUUACAUUCAAAAAGCUAAGGAAGCUAUGGAUAGAAAAAAAGCCUCUCUUGAAGCUCUCUACAUACAUUCCAUGGCUAAGUCAAUUCCCAACUUAUUUGGCACUAAGGUAUGAAUUAAUAUCACUCAACCCUACCUUGUUUCCUCAAAAUUAAGUACUUCUAGCUUAAUUAAUAUCACUGUCUAAUAAACAAUUAAAAGUGGUAUAUAUAGACUCACUUCUUUCAUUGGUAAACAGACCGGAAGUGUUCUAUGCCUCAAAGUCCCCUCUCGUACGGCAAUAUGGUUCUCAAAUGUAGUUGGACCCCAAGAAGAAAUUGCCUUCUUUGGCCAUCCAAUAGCCUACAUUGCUCCAAGUUGUUUUGGUCAACCCAAUGUAAGUCUUCUUAAACUUUAUUUGACAAUGUUUUAAAAAAUGCUUUAGCCUAUAAAAUGUUUUACAAAAAAAAAUUAAAAUUUAGAAAUCACUUUCAAAAAGUUAAAAAGUCACUUAUAGAUAUUUUCGAAGAAAUAUUUGAUAGAUAAUUCUCUUAAUACUUUUUUUAAAAAUUAAUUAAUGUUUCAUGUAAAACACUCUCAAGAAAAACACUUCAAAGUACAUUUUUAGAUUGUGUUUGAUAAUAUUUUUACUCAGAAUGUUUUUAAUGAAAACAUAUUCUCUAAAAGUAUUUUAAGAUAAUUAUCUAUCAAAUAUUUCUCCAAAAGAUACUAUAAGUGAUUUUUUAAUACUAUAAAUAAUUUUUCAUAUUUUUAAAAGUGUUUCCCAAAUUUAAUCAAAUACUUAAAGACAAAAAUGCUUCUUAAAAUCAUUGUCUAACUCUUAUUCAUGAAACAUAAACUUUUCUAUUUCUUAUAAAUUAUUAGCCAUUUUUAGUACAGUAAAAAUGGUGGUUGAUUCAAUCUGAAUUUGAGUCUCUUGAAUAUCUAUUGCAGGCAUUGAUGAUUCAUGUGGUGAGCUAUGCGGAUAAAAUGAAUAUCAUUCUAUCAGUUGAUGAAAGUACAGUCCCUGAUCCUCACCAACUGUUUGAUGAGCUUGAAGAGUCUUUCAACCUCAUCAAGAAUGCUGUGAUGGCUAGAGACUAAACUCCACAGAAUGUCACAUGGCAAGGGCCAGGGUUAAUGUAAUUAAUAUUUAUAAUGUUCUGAAAUAAUUUUCUUAGGGUUCCUGCAAUAAUGAUGUUGUAUUAGAUGACUAAUUAUUUAUAAUGUACUAAAUAAAAAAUGCCUCUCUACUAUAUCUUUAUCUUAAUCCAAGUUCAUAUUUUUUGGACUUUAUUUCAUUUUUAAUUACUGUAUUUUGAUGACUAAUUAUGGGUUCUUUCUAAUUUCAUCUUUUAAUUUUUUAUUCUUUUUUUUAUUUUUUUUUUAUUCCUCAUAUCUUUUGCAGUAUCCAUUUUUAAUUUUAGGGCUUGAAUUUCUACUUCAUUUCAUUAAUUUCUUCCAUAAUUUUUAAUUUUUAUUAUUAUUAAAUAAUUGUAAUACUAUUAAAUAUGAAGUUCUUGGCUGGCUUACAUAAGAACCCAUCUCCUGGUUUAUAUUGAUCCCUACCAUUUUUGACUUUGAAGAGGGUCCACUUUUUACAUCUAAUAACAAAGCGUGGGUCCACAAGAGUGGGACUACAGACAGCAAGGAGGCCAUUGUCAAUCAUUCUCCAAUCUUGAGAAAAUGAGAAACACAUGUUUAAGGUGGGCUGCCACUUCAAAAAACAACAUUAUCUAAUUAAUGAUCCAUGCAUGCAUGGAUGGGACCCAUUUAAAAACAACAAAGAAAAUAAAAAUAAAAACAAAAAGAAAAUGAGAAACCUUGUUGAUGACAUAAUUUUAAAAGGACGCGUAAAAGUCUCUUACAAUUUGAGUGCAAAGUAUAACCCAAGGGACUUAAAAUCCUUUUUAAUUCUCCUAUUAAUAAAUCUUCUUAUCUUUUUAAAUAAAAUUGAAUAAAACUUUGAUUGUUUAACAUCCACUAUAUUCUAAGAAAUUUUAAAAAACUUAAAAGCUAAAAAUAUAAAAAUAAAGUAUUCACUUUCACUUUGCUCAUGAAAAAUAUAAAUAUCAAGAGAAAUACAAUAGGAUCAAUAUUUAUAAAAAAAAUUAAGUUUUUUUUGUUUUCAUUGUAUUGAAUUUUUAAGUAUUUUAAUUUUUAAAAUUUCUUAUUUUAUUAUUAUUCAAUAUUCCUAAGAAUGAUUGUUUUUAAAGAAAAAAAAAUUCUAAAAUAAAAUUUUUUUAAAAAGAAAACUAAAAGGGACACAAUUCUUUACAAUUAAGCAUCUACGUAUUUAUUUAUUUAUUAAAUUUACAAACAUAACAAGUAAAAUAGUCAUUUCGGAAAUAAUUAUAUAACUUAUGAAAAAGUGCAUAUAUUUUGAAAUAUUUUUAAAUGAAUAAAAAUGAAAUUGAUUUAUAAAAAUUAAAUUUUUUUUAUAUCUUUUUAAAUUAGCGAGUCCUAACCCACUUUUUCCUUUUUGAAAUGCCCAAUUACAAGGAAUGUCGGAUUGGUUUUAUCCUAACUUCUUAUCCUUCAAUAUAUAUGUUUAGUACUAUGUGAAAGCAAGAGAAAAUUAAGAUUGAUUUGCACAACUAUUUUUAUGUGAAAUUACUUUUUAAAUAUGUAAAAUUUAUGUUGAUGCCAUAAUUUAUGUGGGGAUUUUUUGUUUUAUUAUGAGCUUUUGAUUUAUUAUAGUGAUGCAUGGUGUUCAAUCGUCAAAUGAUUUAUUAGGAAAAGAGGGUUUUAGUCAUGCAAAGAAAAAUGAACAUGACUAUAUAUAAAACCCGACGAUGUAUAUAAUUAAUCCUAGGAAGAAGAGAGAUCGUGACUAAAAGUGCUUUCUUGUUAUGAUUUUGCCUAAGUGUGAGUAGACCGAUUGGUGUAUAGAAAAUAACCUUCGUAGUCAGACAAGGAGCCAAAGCCACCAUGCCCAUAAAUAUACUUUAUUUUUUUCCAAGGAGUUCAAUUACUUUAUAAUCAUUUAUUCUUAUGAUGAAAUAAAUAGAAAUCCAUUUGUCUAGCAAACGAGUUUUUAAUGUGAUUCAAUUAAUUAUAUUUAUUUUUAAUAUAUAAGAUCAUAUAAAAAAAUUUACAAAAGAAAAAAAUCAAAUCACACUCCCGAAACCUUAUAACAAUAUCUAUAUUCUUAAUUUAAACCUAUGUCUUAUGUGCUUUCCUCAUAUUUCGACAAAAAAUUUCAUAUAUCAAUCUUCAUCAUAUAUCAAAAAUAUUAUUAUGCUAGUAAUUUUCAUAUUGCAAAUAGAUAUUAUAUCUAAAAUUACCCACUCCUUUAAGAUGCAUUUUUCCAUAAUUCAUUUUCAAAAUUAUACUCUACAUUCUUUUACUUUUUCAUAUGAAAAUUAAUAUAUAUAUAUAUAUAUAUUUGUUUUUCUUUAAUUUCAUAUUUUCUUGGCUACCAAUCACCAUAUCAAGAAUUUUAUAUGAAAAAAAAAUAAAAAAUAAAAAAUAGCAAUAAUUUACUUUUUUGUCUGUAUUUCUAUCCUUUGAAUUGAAAGUGGAGCUAAAAAGAAAGAAAAUGUCCCAAAUAACUAAAGUCCUUAAAAUUAACCUCAAUUUGAUCUUUAAAUAAAUAAAUAAAUAAAAUCCUAAUGAAACCUAAUAUGGUGGAAGAAAACCAUAAACCUUGUUCCUGCAAGAUCCAAACUCAUCCAUAAUCCACAUAUUUCAGCAUUCCUAAUGCCCACACUCUUUAAAUCACCUCACUUUUUAUAUAAGAUGCUUGCUUAUGAAAGAAAAAACUCUAAAAUAAUAAUAAUAAUAAUAAAUAAUAAAGAACAUGUUAAAAGGAAGACAAACAUUUAGGUAGAAGAGUCAUGUUAAUUGGUGUUGUUGAUAUAACAAGUGAAAUGGUAUUUUGAGGAACAAUUAAAUGACUCACCGAAAAAGUGCCUCUAUGAUAUAAAGUAUAAUAAUUUUAAAAAUGUUUUUAAAGUAUAAUAUUUUAAAAAGAAUUUUUAAGAUAUGCUAUAGUUGUUUAUAUUAUAAUUUAUAUCUCAAAUUACUCAUAUUCAUGAAUGGUUUCUAUAUAUUUAUUUAAAAAGCAGUAUAACUUUAUUUCUUCUAACAAGGUGUAUUGCUAAUAUUGUAAUUAUAUACUUGAACAUAUUAUUAUCUAAUAAAAUUGUUGGCAAAUUAGAGGGUUGGUCGCGUCCAUCAACUCCCCUUGUAUUCGCCGUGUGUGCUUGGGUGAAUGCACCAUAAAGUUAGGAUAUGCGCAUUUCGUAUAAGCAAUUGCUUUUAGGAUAAUUAGUAGCGUCUGAGGUUCUACAAGUGGUAUUAGAGUCGAGGUCACGGGUUCAAACUCUAGGCGUGUUGUUGGGGGAAGAUGUGCACUAUAAGGUUAGAGUAUGUAUCUUUCCUACAAGCAAUUAUUUUAAGGUAUGUGCAUUUCCUACAAGCAAUUCCUUUUAGGAGAAUUGGUAAUGCCUGAGAGGAGAUGUGCACUAUAAAGUUAGAGUAUGUGCCUUACAAAGUAUGUGCAUUUCCUACAAGCAAUUCCUUUUAGGGGAAUUGGUAGCUUUCGAGGAUUUAACAUGUAUCUAAUUUUCAUGCCUAUCUAACCAAGAAUUUGAAAUGAAAAUGAAAUUCACUUUACAACUUUGAAUCAAAUCAUCCUCAAAUAAGAAAAGUUCCAUCACUAAUCUUUUGUGGCAAAACCCUCAAAUCUUUUCUUUUUUAAAAAAAAAUUUAUAUGGCCUCCAUCAUUAAUCCUAAAUUCAAUUUGAAAUUUGAUUCUAGAAAAAGUAAUAUGACUUCUCGUCCUAAACCCAGGUUGAUCCUAUAAAUAGGAGCACAACCAACGAUGGUGGAGGCACGCCAUCUUUCGAUUUCUAUUCUUCAGUUGUUUUUCAUUCUGAAAGCAGCUAGCACCAUGGAAACCCAAUCAGGUUUGAAGCACGCACUUAAGCCUAUUAGAAUUGUGCCUAAAGAAGGUGAUGAUCAGGAAGAUCAUCAGCCAUUGAGUCCAAUGACUCGUUUGUUUCAUGAACCUGACUGCAAUCUCUACGUUAUCGCCAUGAUAGGCUCGAAAACUCGCAUCGACCCUGACGUGGUUAAAGCCAACCUGGUGCAUAGUCUCCUUAAACACCCUCGUUUCUCUAGUCUGCAGGUAGAAAUCUUGCAUGCAAGAAGGAAUGAACUAGCCAUUUAGUAAUUUAAAGCUACACUGAACAUUUUUGAACUAAAAUGCAGCGGUGUUAUUCCAAAAUCCAUUGUGAAUUUUUUCAGUAUUAUUAAUCUAUUUCCAUUGUUUGCUAACCAUUAAAUCAUCUUCCAAAAUCAGGUUAUGGAGGAGGAAAAGGGAGGAGAGAUGAAAUGGGUUCCAACAAAAGUUGAUUUGGAAAAGCAUGUUAUAGUUCCAGACAUGUGUUCCGACAUGGAAACAUCAUCAGACAAGUACGUGGAAGACUACAUUUGCAACCUCACUAAAACAACCCUAGACCUUUCCAAGCCAUUAUGGGACCUUCAUCUCCUCAACGUCAAAACCUCCGACGCCGAGGCCGUCGCCGUUUUCAGGAUUCACCACUCCCUCGGCGAUGGCACGUCUCUCAUGUCUCUUUUACUUGCAUGCACACGCAAAGCCUCGGAUCCCACGGCUCUGCCUUCGGUUCCCAUGAUGAAGAAACCAAAAUUAUCGGUUGGGUCUGGAAAGUGGUGGAAGGCUUUCAGACUGGUUUGGAAUACUAUCAUCGAUGUUUUGAUGGUGAUCGCCACAGUGUUGUUCUUGAAGGACAGAGACACGCCUCUUAGGGGUCCGCCCAAUGUUGGAUCCACAGGACGGAGAAUUAUUCACAGGACGAUUAGUCUGGAGGAUGUUGUGAUGAUAAAAAAUGCAAUGAGCAC